UUUAACAUUUUCUCUUAGCACGUUCAAUGUACAUACCCCCCACUGGUCAUUGAAAAUUGAAAACCAGGGGACAGGUGCCUCUAACCGCCUUUUUCCCAUAUUACAAUUUCCUACGGCUUUCCUUUUCAUUCUCCUAUAUAAGAAAGUGCCACUAACACUUCAUUUUCAUCCAAAAUCACAAGCGACUUAGAAAUCAGACACGAAACUUUUUCAAGAUUCAAGAAGCAGCAGCAGCAAAAUGAGUUCGUCAAGAAGAGCUUGGAUAGUGGCAACAAGCAUUGGAGCAGUGGAGGCAUUAAAAGAUCAAGGUUUUGCAAGAUGGAAUUAUACAAUGAGGUUGCUACAUCAACAUGCCAAGGCUAAUCUCAUGAGGCCUUAUUCUCGUCAAGUUAAGAGACUCUCUGGUGGACAAUCUUCGAAACUUGUGUCAAAUAAAAUGAUGAGGGAGCAGAAAUUGAAACAAUCUGAAGAGUCUUUGAGAAAUGUCAUGUACUUGAGCUGUUGGGGGCCUAAUUCGUAAUGUCGAUCUCAGUUCCCCAUUAUCUGUAUAUAUUGAUGAUGAUCACGAUAAAUCAACUGAAUGUUGUUGCCUUUUAGUUUCUCCAUUAAUUAUUAUCCUAAUUAAUCUCUCAUUAUCUCUAUUGAGAAACUAAAAGUGGAAAGAUGGAAAAUACAAACUUCCACUUACAACCAAUCACCUAACUUUAGAGCUUGGGUACAAUGUGGAAUACUCAUAACUAGACCAAAAGUCAGAUUGUUGAGAUCAAAAUUGGCACAGCCUAUACUAUAUAUAUUACCUAUUACGACACUCAUUUAGCGAACGAAUAAUUAUCGAAAUCCUCGUAUUUCCGGAUAGCAUAUGUAAAGAGAUCUGCCAACCAAAUAAUUAGUAAACCUUAAUUAGUAUACCUAGAGAAUUUCAACGACUGAUAAAACUUUUGGCCAGUAAAAUAUUAGGCCACAUGGGAUGAUAUUCGUAGAGGAGAGGUGUUUUUUGCAUCAAUUCUAUAACGUCAGGUAUAAUAUUGGAUUGAAAGUAUAAUAGAAGACAUAAAUAAUUCUUUUUGCAUAGUAAAUAAUAGGUAUUUAUGAUCCUUUUUUUAAAUAUUUAUUGAUAUUUUUUAGUAUUUAAAAUUAUAUAUUUAUAAAGUUUUAUAAUCACACAAAUGUUAUGACAUUUCAAAAAUUUUAUAGCCACAUAAAUGUUACUCCUAUAACAUAUCUUAGAUAAUAAAUUUUAAAAAUCUUUUUUUUAAAACUAAAUGUGAAUUUAAGAUUUGUACAAGAAAUACUUUAACACUUUUAAAAAUUGUAAUAUUAAAUUAGUUAAAUUCUUUAAAUCCAUGUCUUUGUAAAAUUGGCCCCACAAAUUUUGGAUUUUGCUGGGAGGUUUCCUUCAGAUCUCAUUUGGAAGAAAAGUGAACAAAGGAUUUUUUCCGUUCUUUUAUUACUACUGAUAUAAUACCACUGUUUCUGACCUUAAAAGUCUUCUACAACCAACCUAAAGCUCCCACAUAAACGACGACAUUAAUUCCCCUAAUUUUUAUGGUCUGAAAUUGUAAUAUUAUCAUCAGAAAUCCACUACGCUCCGGCCAUGGCUACCGCCGACCGCCAUAAGCAACAACCCUCCGACGGGUGGCUCUGCCCCUUCACUAAAUCAAUAUUUCCGGCUUGGCUUAGGCGUAGGCUCCGUCUUGAUCCUGCUAGCAAACUCUACUUUCCUUGUGAGUAGACUUUAUUUACUUACAUGUUUACUACUUCUUCUCGUUAUUCCAUUUUUAGGUCGUUUUAUAUGAAGAGAUGAUACUACCUCUGUUUCAAUUUAUGUGAAGUUGUUUCAUUAGACGUGAAUAAAAAAAACUUUUGAAACUUGCGGCAAGUCAUAGAAAUUUGUAUCCCUAUACAUCAUUUAAUUAACGGUAAUUAAAAGUUUAAACCUUAAUUAUUUCUGAAUAUAAAUAUGUACCAUUCUUUAGGAAUAUACUAAAUAGAAAAUAGUAUCACACAAAAUGGGAUGAAGGAAAGUAUAUGAUAGUAUCAUGUGAUAUGUAGUAAGAGUUGUGAUAUUUGUAAAGCAAAACGGUUUCGUGCCCAUACGUGAAAGGAAGAUAAUGGUAUUUAGUUAAAGUAAUUUUUUAGGAGAAGUAUUUCCACAAUUUAAGGUAAUCAAACACUGGAAAAAGAAUUUUGGUUUAGCUAUGUAAUGUUGACAAUGACAGAGAAUAUUGGUUCCUGUUUUUGGUUUUGUGUUCUGAAGAUGAACCCGGAAAGCAGGCGAAGAGUGCUGUAAGGAUGAAGAACACAAGCAAAUCUUAUGUUGCAUUCAAGGUAAACUACUAAUCCCCAUUUUUGUUCAGCGCUUUUGUGCUAGUUGAUUUUUUUCAUCUAUAUAUCCUUGCAACCUUUGAAGCUUUUGGCAUUCAUAACAAAUGCAGUUUUAAAGUUUAUACAUUUAGUUAAAACGGACAUUGAAUAUGAGGUGUCAUUGUUUUGUAAUGACUUCACCUUUUCUGGAUCCAUUUUUUCGCGUGGAAGCUUAGUGAUUUAUAACUUCUUUUCUUAAGUUCUAAAAUUGGUGAUGUAUCUUGCAAAAUUCGAUUCAAAGAUAUUGUAUUGUUAUCUUCAUCAUAAAUCAUUAAUUGAUAUGGAUGACACAAUAUAAGCAGCAGUCUAAGUUUCCACUUCCUUUCGAAUUUUAAGUUAAAUUUGUUGUUCCUUUUGAAUGUUUUAGUUUCAAACUACUGCACCAAAAAGCUGCUACAUGCGACCUCCUGGAGGUAUUCUUACACCUGGUGAAAUCCUGAUUGCCACUGGUAUUCACUUUUCCUCAGUUUUAUUUCAAUUAAUUUUAUAUCUCAUUUGUUUUCAGUGUACAUCCUCCAUUUAUUUUCUAUUAUAUAUCUGGUUGACAGUCUUCAAGUUUAUUGAGCUCCCUGAGAACAAUGAGAAGCCUAUAGUAGAUCAAAAGACCAAGGUAAAGUUCAAGAUCGUGAGUUUGAAGGUGAAAGAAGGAACUGAUUAUGUACCUGAGUUGGUAAGUUAAUCAAAUUACUAGGUGUUGAAAAAUGGCAAAUUUCUUUAUAUUGCAUUCCAUGACCAGAAAAAUGAUUCGGUGUCAUCCCUAUUCAUUGGCAAAUAUGCUUGUGUACUUUGUUCUCGGCGCAUGUUACACAUUGAACUUGUCACUGACAGAAUCCUGUUUAUUAGUAUCCAUGCAAUGCAAAUUUUCAAUCUUGAAUUUAUGAAAAUUUCUAGAUGGAUUGUUUAUAUCGUGGACUUAAAUGUACUUCGUAUUGAGAGUCAUUAAGUUUCUUGUUUGUCUUUCUAUUCCAUGCAUCUUCUUUGGAUGGAACCCAAUCCAAUUUGCUCAAAUAUAUUUUAGUAACAAUGACUAAGACAAAUAGCUCGCGCAGUCUUCAGUAAGAGAGUUCUGUCAAGUUUAAUGACUGAAUAUUCUACUGGUUGCUGGGCCAUAUUGACAUCUUAUUAGAUCUUCGUUUCUUUCCAUCUACAAUUAAACAUAUUAGUAAUUUGUUAAAUGAGGGUACAAGCUCUGGAUUUGAUGCCCUUUUGUUCCGAGACAAAUCCGUUUCACAGAGGAUCUAAAUCUAAUAUAAUUGGUGCUGGCUAAAUUCGCAUGGCGUGAUUGCUUCUUCUUUUCCCUUCACUUAUGUAGGAGUUGCUCCACUUGGUUGGGGUUCUAGAAAAACGUUGACUGCUGCAGAGGUUCUUUUCUGUGGGUGACGGCUGAAAGGGUGCUAUGUCCGUAUCGACUCAUUUCCAGAAAAGAAAAUGCAUUGAUGAAAUCUCAUAGAGAUAUGUUUAUAAUCUUAAUCUAAAUCAGGACAUUUCCCUCUCUGCUCUCUACAUUCUCGUGUUGUUCUUUGCCCCAGAAAAACGAUUAUUGACUAUGUCUACGAUGACAAAACUUCUGACAGAUAUGCUUGUUGUGAAGUUUCUCUUUAUGAUAAAUUUCUUUGUAAUCUAUUUUUUUUUUUGGGCUAAUCUCAAAAGUUUAAUCAGCUAAAAUCUUAACACUGGCUUUUGUGAUAAACAGAGUGCUGAUUGUUGAGAUUAGAAACUUCUAAAACUUAAUGAUGUAUAGUUGCUUUUGCAUGCAACUCCAAAGUGUAAAAUUUCCACCUCUUCAACAGUGGCGGAGGCAGGAUUAACGCCAAGGGGGUUCAAAAUAAAAGAGAUUGUGACCCGUGGGAAUUUAACUAAUGACCUUACAAAAGUUUUGAACCCCUUGACCACUAAGCUAUGCUUUUGGGUUGUGUCAAGGGGAUUCAAAAUAUAAUAUAUAGAGAUACAAAAUAAAUUUUACCUUAUAUGCACAGUGUAAUUUUCCGGCAAAGGGGGUUCGGGCGAACCCCCUUCCGCCCCUCUAAAUCCGCCCCUGCUCUUCAAUUUCCUAAAAGUGAGAAGGAUAAUAAUUUCAUACAUAAUCCAUUUCUUUCCAAUUUGUUCAGCCAUAACUUUUAUCAUUCUGCAUAUCUACGAUAUUUUUUUUCCUUUUAUCAUCACUCAAUACUCCUAGGAUAAUAGUCUUGGUUCAACCGUAUGACUCUUAUAUUUGACCUGGGUGCUAUUCCUGGGAGAAACUUUACAGUGUAAGAGGUAAAACAUAGGUGAGGGUCUGUGCUUUGGUUGCCCUUAUAUCUAAUAUCUGUUCUGUAUCAAAAUUAUAUACGGGGUGUGUGCUUUUGGUUGCCGGUAUAUCAAAUAUCUGCUCUGUAUCACAGUACUACUGUAGCUUUAGUGGUAUAACUUUCAUUGGUUAUUUUAUGCAGUUUGAUGAGCAAAAUGAGCUUUAGUGGUGUAACCCCCAUUGGUUGUUUUAUGCAGUUCGAUGAACAAAAGGAUCAAGUUACUGUUGAGCGUACUCUAAGGGUGGUGUUUUUGGACCCUGAACGCCCUUCUCCAGUAAGAGUUAGACAUAUUAUAUUUUGUUGUUGUACAUUGUGCAAAUGUCCAAUCUCCAACCAAAGUAAUUUGAAUGAUUGAAGGCACUGGAUAAACUAAAACGUCAGUUGGCCCAAGCUGAGGCUGCAGCAGAAGCUGACAAGAAACCUCCAGUUGACACAGGUCCGAAAGUUGUGGGAGAAGGUUUAAUAGUAGAUGAAUGGGUAAGCAUAUCUGAUGUUUGUGUAAAGACAUCAUUCUAAUUCCUGGCCUACUUCAUUCCUCUAACAAUGUGUUUUUGCUCACUAUGCUUACAGAAGGAGCGGAGGGAGAGGUAUCUUGCCCGGCAACAGGUUGAGGCAGUGGAUUCAGUGUAAAGCAGUAAAGGGUUUUUAUGUAAGUUCAUCUUUUGCCAGAAUAGUAAUGUAAAAUCAGAUCCACACCUUUUAUAUAUACUUGACUUUCUUUGGAAGGAUGUUGGAGAAGGGCAAUGUAGUUCUUCAUGUAAAAGUAGAAAAAUGGCUGGAGUGUUACCUUAGUGGUUCUUUGAUUUUUUCGAGAAGAAAAUAUAACAAGUAAAUUAUAACUUCAUGGCCUCUCUGUCCUUUCAGGGUAGGGGUAAGUCUGCGUACAUCUUACCCUCCCCAUACUCACUCGUGUGAAAUUACUGGGUUUGUUGUAACUUCACGAGGUGAGUAAAUCCUCAUCAAUUUUAGCUGCUUAGGAACUGUUGAGAGUGUAAGGUUGGGACAAUUGAAGGAAGUUAAGUGGGAGGGGGAUGUAACAAGAACAUUCAAACUAUAUUACCACACAUAUGUUCCACAAGUAAAUCUUUUGUUGUUUUUAAAAAUCAAAAUCAUCCUGAUUAGGCUUUGGCGAAGUAAGCAAAGCCGUAUAAAGCUUGAGUCUGUCCUCCGUUAGUGAAGAACAUCGAGAUAAUGGUCUUCUUGGUCUAAUAAACGACAACGAGGUGAGUGUCAACCUGUGUUUAUAUCUCCUCCAAGCCAAUUGAAUAGCAACUGCUGCCCAAGUUCUCCAUCCUGGAGAAUAAUAUCUAGCACUUCUCUUGACUUUUUCGUCCACAAAUGUGUACCGAAAAUGUUGUGUUACAUACUUUACAUCGUCAGCUUCAAGACCAAAGGCUUCAGUGGUUUCAAGAGUCACUAAUGAUGAUGAGGAUGGCGGCAGUCGCUCCACGAAGGGUCGUCGGAGGCACCAUGAAAGAAGUUCGUCGCCGCUGAAGUUUCCGGGACCUAACAUGCAGCAACUUUUUACACCGUCUCGAAGUACUUGACUACUUUGGAGAUGGCCUCUCACUAUGAAUAACAUUCUCUGAACUGGAUCGCCCUCUCUAGUUAUCUAUCAGAAAAGCAAAUAUAUCUUAGACGGGGAGAUUAUGGAGAUUUUAUAUAGAGUAAUGCAUAAGUAGUAGUGGGUAUGAGACAUAUUUCAACUCCUAGUCCCGUUCUUUAUAGUGUAUGUAUUGCCUAAUACAAAUGUCUAAAUUUUACAUGACAUUUGGACUUACUGUUUCUCCUUUUGUAAAAAUCAGGGAUUUCACGCGAUCACAUAUGUUCUCCAGGACCAAAUUAUCCAUAUGCUGAAAUAGAGGAACCUGAAGUAUGUGCAGAAAAGUUAGUUUGGGCAACAUUUAUGGACCGAUAUGGCCCAAAAUAGGUCUAUCGUGUUAUCCGAAAAAUACACUCACCAAUCAAUUCUUGCAAGUAAAUGUUACUUUUACUAUAAACUUUUAUACAAUUCAAGUUUAUGCAUUUAUGAGACGAACUUUUUUACACAAUAUAUCAUUAAGAUUUUAAAAGAUCUAUCUAGUGAUUCAUAUAAUUAAAAAAAGUAUAGUUCGGUGCAUAAAGCAUUUCGCGUUUGCAAAGGAGUGUGAUAUAGCCAUAUAGGCAAUCUACCCUGAUACAAGUAUUAGUUGCUAAUUUCACGACUCGAACUCGUGACCUACAAGGAGACAACUUAACCGUCUAACCUAAUGAUUGCUGGGAUGAUAGUCCGUUUAUCAAUUUCAUAUAUGAUUAAAAUAGUCGGAAAGUCAAAUCGCAAGGCGUAAGAAUGGCCUAAUCUACCUCAUUACUAUUCUAUUUGACAGAAUUCUCCUAUUUGUUUAAUACUGUCCAUAUACAUUGUACUCCGAAUUAAAGCAAUGAGAAGUUUACCUGUCUGACCAAGUCCAAACAAAGAUGGUAUUUGAUGUCCCUUCUAAGACCCUCAGGAAGGUUAUGUAUCAUUUCGCAUUCAUCAACUCCACGCGUUGCUGCAUAUCUUUGCCGUUCAUAGUUUCUCACUCUUUGCUUGUAAUCCUGUGGCAAUCUUCUCCUCCUCAUCCACCACUCUACAUUUCUCAUCUUAAGUUGCAUUGCCUGUUUCUUUGAUGUCGUUGCAUGCAAGAAAACCUGCACAUAUUUCAUGUACCAACAUAUAUAUACACAAGACCCUUAAUUAUAGCAUUUUCCUGUGUGUUUAAUUAGGAGAGUUAAUUAAUAUUACCUUGAUGUUACCAAUCAACAUGGUGACCAGAAGUAGCCCACUAGUAAGAACGAUGAUUAUGAAUACUAAUUCUAGCCAAUCUGUUGUGCUCUCCAGGUUGCCAAAAGUACUGUAAAAUAUCCGUAUAGACACAAUAUACUGGAUUAAUUCACUUCAACUAUAUUUUACCGAGUAAAUUUAGAAAAUUAUUUUUUGGGAUAAUUAAAGAAAAAGAAGCUGAUUAAUUGUAUAAGAAUACCUGAGAGUCAUGAGACCCCAGAAAAUGGGAAAGAGUAUUUUCUCAAGACGAUUUUCAUUAGUGACAAGUUGAACAGUCCAUUUAUAAGCUCCAUAGUCAAAACUUUCUUCAGAGGAUAGGCACGUCGAUCUAGCAAGUUUGGUCUCACCCCAUAUGAGUCGACUUUUGUGCUUCACCAGAGUAGUUGUUCCAUAAUAUAUUGACUCUUCGCAGGCCAACAUUCUGAGGCCACAACCUUUUGUAAUUUCACACUGUUGUUUCAAACAUUUCGCAGCCCUUUGGAUUCCUAGCAAGUACCAACAUGCUCCCACAGCCUGCCCAUGUUAUAUACUACUAUAGUUAAGUUCCUUUUCAGCGUAUGAAUAAGGGGUCGUUUGGUCCAGAACAAGGAUAUUCCGGGAUUAUAAUCCAGCAUCCUAUAUGUAUAUGAGAUAGAUAAUACCAAGAUUAUGGUAUAAAAGUUAAUUAUACCGGUUUUAGUAAAUACCAAUAAUCAAAUGACCCCUAUUAAUGGAGUCUUAAUUAGUUUGCUUAUAUUGAUGGUUUAACAAGUAUUUAUACAAUCAUGAACUAACUAAUGAGAUAAAUUAUAAAUAAAAUAAAUAUUACUGAUAAACACUAAUUUGUACGCUGCUAAACUAGUAAUUAGCAUAUUCUAACAGGUUAAAUAUAUAAUACUGAAGUUAACUUAUAUGCGCAGUUGAUUGCUCUUGAUAGCACGAAUUCAUUAUUUCCUUUUAUACAAAUUCUAGUAGGAUGCAAGAUGAGGAAAUUUAAGAAAUAUGGCCGUUGUACGUAAUUCUAUUCCGUCUGAUAAACAUUUGAAAGCAUACUAUCUAACUUUUAAUUAUUGGAAAUGAAGAAAAGUAGAUUCUUUAACCGACUAAUCGAGCCCGGUUAGAUAUCCUUUUCCAACAUAUAUAUGGUAUGCCAAAUUCUCUAAUAAUUUUGACCUGCUAAAAGAUAUUGACCUUUGAACUUUCCCUACACAAUUAAUUAUCGGUUAUCGAACUAAAUUGAAGCUUUUAAUGGGUUAGGCGGAGUGAUAUCCGAUAUAGUCCAGCCCAAUGUAGAUAUAAGAAACGAGAAAUAAUAACUACUCCCUCCUAUCCACAAUAAGUGAUUUUUUGGAUGUUUUCAUACAAAUUAAGAAAUUCACCUUUUAAUCUUAAUUAACAAUGAAAUUGACCAUAUUAACAUUUCCUAUCUCUUCACAUAAACACCCCAAACACAUACACCAACAUUAUUUACUCCAAGGGCAAUAUAGAAAAAUAAUAAUUAAUUCAUUCUUGAAAUCUGGAAAAAUCACUUAUUUUGGACCACAAAAAAGACCAUAUAUCAUGCCUGACUAAACUUCCUGUUAUCUUCAACUCUAAGCAGUAAUCUUUCUUUCUCUUCUUUUAAUGUCCAAUUCUUUUUCUAAAAGAGAUUGUCCUCUAUCUUGAUAAAGGCCUAUGAGAUUUCACGAGCAGAUUGGUGUUAAAGGAGGAUGCGAUAUGACGCUUUAAGAAUAAAUAUUUGUCACUUUUUUCUUUCCGAGAAAUUAGUUUAUAGAAGUUUGGCCAAAGUCUUAAAAUAUAUAUGUUCUUUAUCAAUUUAAUUAUGAGCAAAAUUAUAUUGCAGCAUAUGACUUGUUAUUUAACUAAUUUUAAAACAUGUUAAUCUAAUUCGAUUUAGCGUGAGAAUACAUCUAUCAACAAGCGAGAAAUACCAUAUGAAUUAUGAUUAUAUAUUGAGAGUAACGUUUCAAUAAAUAAUCAUAAAGUAAUAUAUAUACUAAGUAAGUAGAUACUUGCGUCCUGGGAGUGGUGAAAAGAAAAGAAAAUAGGUAUGUACUUACGUGGGAAGCGACAAAAUAGGCGAUCAAGUUGAGAGCAAUUCCCCACCAAACAGUGCCAAAUAUGUAGCCGGAGAGACCUUGCAUCCGCCGCAAUAGGCAAACGGAGUGAUAGAUUUUGGGCAGGUACUGAAACAGAAACAUUAUUAACAACACUGUCAUCACUGUUGUUAUAGAUCCUUUCUCCAGUAGAUCUGGAAUCGCUACCCACAUCACUAUCUGCAAUAAAUAUAUAAAAAUCAACAAUGAAUUACUAAUGCCUCCAAAAGUCUACAAUCAUAUAAGCUACUGCAUAUAUAUGUUGCUAAAAAUUAUGGAAAUUGAGGCACUGAGAAAUCUUCUCACGCAUAUGACUAUCACAAAAUCUCUUGACCAUCAAAACAAUAGGAAAUUAUUUUUCAAGACAACAUACGUUAAAAAUAGUGUUUAUAUAUAUAUGAAAUUUGGUAAUUACGAUUUCUUUUUCUUUUCCUAUUUCUUCGUAUUUCGUAAGUUAAGGGAGCGAAUAGCGAGGGUUGAGGUCAGCUCCUUCUUUUCAUAGUUGGGGUGAUCAUCAUGUAGCUAUAGCAUCCCCUUCCCUUUCCUUAAUUUAAUAAUGAAACUCAAAAACGAAAACAAAAGGAGCAAAUAGUGUCUUCUUAUGCGUCCCUUCUCAUAACAAUGCAAUUAAUUCAUACUAAUGCUUAAUUAUUUAUGCCAAGUGAAAUGAAAUCAACCUAAAACAUCUCUUAGAUUUGCUCAAAUCAAGAAAUGUUCGUCAAGUUUUCCUUUUCUCUUUUAAUAAGUAUCGACCCUUGUUCCAUUUUUAAUGACAUAUUUAAAAAAUUCAUUUUCUGUCUGUGCGGGCAGUUAGAAAAUGGAUAUGCGGGCAUAUCACGUUAGGUAAAAUCAGAAAUAAAGUUAUUCGGAACAAGGUGAGUGUGGCCCCUUUGGAGGACAAGAUGCAGGAUGUAAGACUUACAUGGUUCCGACAUGUGAAGAAGAGAGACACUGAUGCUCCGGUGAGGAGGUGUGAGAGGCUGGCAUUGGAGGGCCAACGGAGAGGUAGAGGCAGCUCGAAAAAGUAUUGGGGAGAGGUAGGCAAGAUAUGACAUUGCUCCAUCUUACUGAUGACAUGACCAUGAAUAAGAAUGUAUGGAGAUUGAGAAUAAAGGUAAAGGGUUAGAUAGCCAAGUGUAGUCCUUGUUUGUAACAGUAACUUUGAUACACCACUUAGUGUCUUUUCGUAUUCCUAGACUUCUGUUACUGCUUGUUGUUGUCUUUUGUUUCAGUUUUUUGAUUGCAUUACCUAGUGCUAUUUUUGUAUUUUUGCUUCGAUUGUCAGAUUGAUUUGCUUGUUAUUGCCUUUCCCCUUUCCUUCCUGAGUCGAAGGUCUACCGGAAAUAACUCCUCUACCUUCUUAAAAGCAAGGGUAAGGUUUGCGCACACUCUACCCUCCCCAGAUCCCACUUGUGAGACUACACUAGGUAUGUUGUUGUUGUUGUUAUUGUUAUUGUUUCUGACGGACAAAUUUCUGUGUAAAUAUUUUUAAAGUUUUGACUCUGCAAUAGUGUAAAUAUUUCUUAAGUUAUGUACAUUGAUAGUGUAAAUAUUUUUUACAAUAUUAAUGUAGUCUAACUAGAGAGAGUAGAUUAGUUGUCAUAUUUUAAAAUAUUAGUAUAGGUUAUAUUACUUAUCAUAAAGAUUAACUUGUAAUUAUCCAAAGUGAUAUGAUUGUGUAAAUAUCUUUUACACCAUCCGGAACUUAAAAUCUUAGUGAUAUGUUUUAAUAGAAAUUGACAUGGCGGGUAGACCACAAAAUAUUAAGGGUACUUUGGGUAUGAUACAUCUCUUUAGUUUAUGACUCAAAUUUUUUAUUUUUCUUAAGCUCGAUAUAUAAUAAGACGGAGGGAGUACAAAAUUAAUCUUUCCUCUCAAAAUCCUUGCUUUAAAGAGAAGGGAAACAAGAAGGAAAACUAAGCUCCAAAUGUAUAAAAGGCAAGGAAAGAUUAAAAACGGACUCUAAAAAAUAGUACUAGUAGUCUAGUAGUACUGUUCUUCAUUCAGAAGCUAUGGAAGAAAAACAAAAAUUCGGAAAUAUUCGUGAUAGAUUACUCGUCAUUAUUAUUCUUCUAUGCAUGAUAACGGUAAGUGAUUGAAGUCUUGAACUCUUGAUCUAAAUGGGAUCUCAAAAUCCGUAAAUAUAUAUAUGUAAUUCUUCUUGUAAACAAAUUUGUUUGAGUUCCUCUUUCUGUUGUGAGUAGAAAGAAAAGACACUUGGUUACCUGAUCACUUGUUCUUACUGCAACUGCUUAAGGUUAUCACUGCAUGCAUAACAAACAACGGCCAUGACAUGCAUGCCUUUUGUCUUCUUUUACUACAAUUUUCAUACUAAAAUACAAAACAUGCAUCACCAUGUUUAUCAUACCACAAAAUAGAAAAAAAGUUGCAUAUCAUAAAUCAUCUUGAACUCACCUGCGGCAAAGGAAGGAUGACAAAUAGAUCAAAAAAGAACCCUUUUUUAGCCUUCAAAUAUCGUAAAGCCACAGAACGUGGAGGAUUCUUAUCAUGAGGACGUAAUUUGUUCAUUCUGAAUUGUAGCCACAUGUUCCAUAAAUGCAAGGCAUCAGUCAUGCACCGGAGAGCCGUGACCGUGACGGCGAACCACCCGUCGAUGAAGAGGCAAAUACAAUUCUCACUAAUAGAAAGAGCAUAGAAAAAUAGUGGAUCCACAAAAAGUCCAGUGGCACAUACUAGUAAGAAUAUUCUGUUCCAUUCUUGAACCCAAGGCGCUCUCGGGUCUAUAACUUUCCCGGAGAAAAAGCCUGCCAGUCCUCCUCGACCACGACCACGACCACUACAAACUCCGCAAUUGUUGUUGUACUCAUUAGAAUUAUUUUCUUCUUUUCCCUCCACUUCUAUUUCUUCAUCGAUGUCUUGCUCCUCAUCCUCGUCAUCAUCAUUACUGUCACUGUAAUUAUGUGAUAGUUCAAGUUCAAGAUUAUGAGUAGCCAUUAAUUAAUUUUUUUUCAAGAUUUUUUAAUGCUUCUUUUGUUUAUGGGUUUGGGAAUAUGGAGGCUCUAUAGAGAAGGGUGAUUUAUUAGGUGAAAGAAUGGAGUGGGGUUGUGUUUUUGGGCAGAGAGGAGAUAUGAGAAUAUAUGCACUGAUUUUUCUUAAUGUUAGAGAAGUGAUAAUUCGAAACAAUGACAAGAAGAGGACAUAAAUUAUUGUAGAUAUGGGGAGAGCUCAAAGCUGACAAAAAUGGUAGGAACUUCCUAUACUACCCCGCUGUAAUAUGUCUACAAUAUCCAAAAUGAAAUUUAAAAAGUAAAAAGGAGAUUCCAAGAAUUUGUUGCUAUACGUACAUUGUAAUGAACGAACUCGAUCGGUGUUUGAAUUUUUUACAUUCAUUUUUUGCAAAACUCGAAGACUAAUUCAGAGAUACUGUUUUUUAUUCUAACAAAAACCUAAAAACACUUUUUAAUAGUAGUACUUUUUACCAACUAAGACUGUUCGAUUUCUGAUCGGGGACCAAAAAAACUUCAGCUUUUGUAGGCUAAUGUAUGUAACGUUUCGGGGAAAAGGCAAACUUUGUGGUUUUGUGCAACUUUUGCUUGUCAUUUAAAACAUCAAUGUAUUCCUAUAACUUUUACUUGUCAUCAAUUAUCUUCCAAUAACUCCAAUUUUGCCUUCUACAAUUCGACAACUAAUUGUAACGCGAGAGAUGCAAGAUUUGACCAUUGUUCAAGCUUGUACAUAGUCCUCUAGUUAAUUUCCCUACGCUCCACUUAAAAAAGAAAAAACACACAUGCAUACACACGUGAUCGCACAUUUUGCACUUUUAUACAAGGAUAGUAUGGAAAUUUUUUUACAUUAUCAAUUGUNNNNNNNNNNNNNNNNNNNNNNNNNNNNNNNNNNNNNNNNNNNNNNNNNNNNNNNNNNNNNNNNNNNNNNNNNNNNNNNNNNNNNNNNNNNNNNNNNNNNNNNNNNNNNNNNNNNNNNNNNNNNNNNNNNNNNNNNNNNNNNNNNNNNNNNNNNNNNNNNNNNNNNNNNNNNNNNNNNNNNNNNNNNNNNNNNNNNNNNNNNNNNNNNNNNNNNNNNNNNNNNNNNNNNNNNNNNNNNNNNNNNNNNNNNNNNNNNNNNNNNNNNNNNNNNNNNNNNNNNNNNNNNNNNNNNNNNNNNNNNNNNNNNNNNNNNNNNNNNNNNNNNNNNNNNNNNNNNNNNNNNNNNNNNNNNNGGGAAUCUGUUACACAUCCUCAAGGUGCCAAAGCACAACAAAUCUCAAGUCAGGCACAAGUUCCAACAGCUAGAGUCAAAGAAACAAUAGAGGGAACAGAUGAACAUAAGUUCCCUUGUUGACUGUACCAGUCAACUCCUCACAACUGUAAAGUCGCUGUAACUAUUCCUCAGCACACAUGCAACAGCACAAACAAUGCAAUAAUCACUUUAUUGGGAAUGCCUUGUACCGGAUAUUUGCUUGCAUCGUCUAAGUGACAUCACCUGGAUAUUAUUAACAUGAAGCAAAGGAAAAACAUACAUUUGCACCUCCGAAAAAUCGAUCAAGUUUCCUCUCAAGUGUGUUGCCAUCUUGCAAGUGACUUCCAGACUUUAAGAACAAAGAACAACGGAAUGAAGGGCCAGUUUCCAGUUCUGUGUUAUCAAUAUGUCCUUAGUUGUGUUGUACUUGUAUUAGAAUGAACUACUUAUAAUUCCUACUUAGCUUAGCUAGAAGCAUUGUGUAGGAAAUUUUGUGUUUGUGUCUUGGCUAGAGUUAGUCGAGUUGUGAGCUUUGUAAUAGAGUUAUUACAAAGAGGCUUAUAAUAGAGUUAUUACAAGUGAGUGAGGGAUUAAGAGUUUAAUUCCUAGGUUACAAUAGGUUGUAAUCUAAAGCUGCUCGGUUAGUGAAGUUGAAAUCCUACGAGUGUAGGUCGUGAUUUUUAAUCCCGUGAGUUGGGAGUUUUUCACGUAAAACUCUGUCGUGUCAUUUACUUAUCUCUUGUUGUGUGUGUUCUGUGGGAACCGAUAGAGAACUAGGUUCUCUAUACAGUUUGGUGGACCCUAGGUUUCCAUCAAUUGGUAUGAGAGCAGGUUCUUUCUAUCAGGCUAACACCUAGAAAGGAUCCAAAUGACUGCUCCACCAAACUUUGAAGAAGGUCAAUUAACCUACAGACCACCAAUAUUCAAUGGACAGUACUACGGAUGGUGGAAGGCAAGGAUGGAUGACUUUAUUGCUGAAGAUUCAGAGUUAUCUGCGACGGACCCUUCAUCCCCAUGAAAACUGUUGGCGAGCCAGCAGUGACAGUUCCAAAGACAAGGAAGGAGUACAGCGAUGCUGACUGGAAAUCCAUAGAGAAGAACUUCCGAGCAAAAAAGAUUCUCGUCUGUGGUAAUGGACCAGAUGAGUACAACAAAAUCUCUGCCUGUCAAUCUGCCAAGGAGAUCUGGGAAGUUCUCCAAACAACACAUGAAAGAACAACUCAAGUCAAGCAGUCAAAGAUCAACAUGCUCACCACUGAGUAUGAACUCUUCAGGAUGAAGAAUGAUGAGUCCAUUCAGGACAUGCACACUCGAUUCGCCUCUAUCAUCAACGAGCUCCACUCUUUAGGAGAGAUCAUUCCAAGGAAUAAACUUGUCAGAAAAAUACUUAGUGUAUUACCUAGUUCCUGGGAAAGCAAAGUAAAUACUAUCACGAAGGCAAAGGAUCUGCAAAAGUUGACCAUUGAUGAACUCAUUGGAAAUCUGAAGACUUAUGAAAUGAACAAGAAGAAGGACCAUGAAAGAAGAGAGCCCAAAAAGGAGAAGAACCUGGUCCUCAAGGCAAACAGUAAUUACUCAGGUGGUGAGGAUGCUGACAUGACCUACCUGACGAAACGAUUUCAGAAAAUGAUUCACAGGAAUGAAGGCAUUCCAAAAAGGGGCAGCUCCAACAAGCUAAGAGGUUAUCACUUGUGUCAUUAAUGUGGUAAGCCAUGACACUUCACAGAAAUUUGAAGUCUCUCUUAGAAGAAGCUUAUAUCUUUGGCAAAUAUUUUAAUUGAUGCUUAUUAUAGUCUUAUAAAUGAUAAAAAUGCAUUAACUGUGGAACUAGGAGAAGUAGAACACGAGAGAGAUGAUCUGGUAGUCGUAGUGGUUGACCUAAAAGAAACCAUCGAGGUUCUAAAGAAAGAAAAAGAUGUUCUGAUUAAAAAAAUUUAAAACGUGGAACAUGAGAGAGAUGACCUGUUGGUAGUUGUUGUGGAUCUAAAAGAAAUAAUAGAGGAACUAAAAAGGGGAAACAGUUUUGGGAAUAUCCAAAAGGGAAAGAAAGUUGCAAGUGAGGCACACAUUAAGCUUGAAAAUGAACUCAAAUAUGUAAAAUCUAGUCUGUGUGCUGAGCUUGAAAGAAACAGACAAUUUCAGGAAGAUCUAGGCAGAGUUAAAAAUGACCUAGAAAAAUCUCUAAAGUGGACAUGGUCCUCUGAUACAAUCACUUCCAUGUUUACAAGCAAUGGUGGGAACAUGAAGGUAGUCGGGUUUCAAAAGGAAAGGACUCCCUACAAUCCACAUAGCAAGUAUGUUAUUGUCCCUGAUAACUGGCUUUGGACUCACUGUGGCAACACUGGACACUUUAAAAAAAACUAUAAGUAUAGAAUUUAGUCCCAACAGAAAACCAAGUUUUUGUUGAAAAGGUAACUACUGCUAAGGAACCUGCUUUCUCCAUUAAGAAACGUGUAUUGCCUACUUGGACAAAAAAAAGUUUAAUUCGCCCCUUUCCUCACUACAAGGGACCCAAACUUGUUUGGGUUCCAAAGUCUAAUCCUUGAUUUUCUUGUGCAUGGAGCAGUGAAAGAAAGCAAUCAAAAAUGGUAUAUGGAUAGUGGUUGUUCUAAGCAUAUGACUGGAAGCAUCGAUGAUCUUCUUUCACUCAAAGCCCUGCAAGGAGGCAGUGUGUCCUUUGGCAAUAGCAAAAAGGGAUACAUUCUGGGAGUAGGAAGAAUUGGGAAGACACUCACUCACUCAAUUGAGAAUGUGUACUAUGUGAAUGGCUUGAAAUAUAUCCUACUGAGUGUUUCUCAAAUCUUCGACAAAGGAAACAAAGUGGAAUUUUUAUCAAAACCCUGCACAGUCACAAAUCUCGUGACUGGUGAAGUGGUUCUGUUGGCAAAAAAAUUCAAAAACAUCUAUGUUACUGAUUUUGAGUCCUUACACAAUGGGGAUCUUACAUGUCUGAGUGCCAUUGAUGAUGAUGCUGAGUUGUGGCACCGAAGAUUAGGACAUGAAAGCUUUUCAUUGCUGAAUAAGUUGGUCAAGAAGGACCUGGUCCGUGGGCUGCUCGAGUCAAGGUUCAAAGGUCAUAAGGUGUGUGAUGCUUGUGUAAGAGGAAAGCAAGUCAAGUCCUCUUUUAAGCCCAAGAAACGAGUAAGCACCUCAAGGCCACUUGAUCUCCUCCAUAUGGAUCUAUAUGGACCUAUGAGGGUGUUCGGUAGAGGAGGAAAGAAGUACAUCCUUGUCAUAGUUGACGACUACUCCAGAUUCACAUGGACCUUAUUUUUUAGAACCAAAGAUGAAACCUUUCCAAUUUUCGUUGCAUUUGUGAAGCAGAUUCAAGUGAAGAUGAGCCAUAAUGUUGUAAGUAUAAGGUCUGAUCAUGGCAUAGAGUUCGACAAUGCAAAAUCUGACGAAUGUUGUGCUGAAAAUGACAUAAGUCACAAUUAUUUAGCUCCCAGAACACCCCCAACAAAAUGGUAUUGUGGAGAGGAAAAAUAUGACUCUUGAAGACAUGGCAAUAACUAUGCUAAUUGACAGUGGCAUAGCAAAAGGCUUCUGGGUAGAGGCAGUCAACACUGCUUGCUACUUGGUGAACAGGUGCAUGAUUAGGUCCCUCCUGAACAAAACUCCAUAUGAAUUGCUGAAUGGAAGGAAGCCCAAGCUAACUCACCUAAGAGCGCUUGGAUCCAAAUUCUUCGUUCUUAAUAAUGGUAAGGAAGCUUUGGGGAAAUUUGAUGCCAAAAGUGAUGAAGGAAUCUUUCUUGGAUAUUCCUUACAAAGCAAAGCAUACAAGGUCUACAACAAAAGGACUCAAUGUGUUGAAGAAAGCAUACAUGUAAUCUUUGAUGAAUCACACCACCUUUGUGGGAAAAAUUCACAUGAUAAGAUUGAUCAAGAUAGAGAGUAGUUGAAGGUUCCUGGAGAAGUCAUUGAUAUGGCAAUGGAAAGGCAGAAUUGAUGAGCCAAGUCAAGGAACUCAACGAAGAAAAUAUAACAGAAUCCUCAGUUGAUGCAGAAGAACCUGGUUCCUCCAUCACAACAAUUGAAGUAGAGGAUAGAGUUGCUGAUGCGGUGCAAGAAACUCCUAAAGCUAAGCAGAGAAGUGGUACUCACCCAUCCAUAGAUGCCAACAAUGGAUCCCAUUAUGAGGAACUUGGAUCUUCCCACAAUGAAAUUCUGGUGUCUAACUCGAAGCACAAAAGUUCACAUCCUCUCCAAAAUGUGAUCACUCCUCUUGAUUUAGGAAUUCAAAUCAGAUCAAAGACAAGAAACUCGUUUUCCUUCUCAGCUUUCCUUUAUCAAAUCGAGCCUAAAUAUAUCAAGGAAGCAUUGAAAGAUGUUGACUGGAUUACUUCUAUGCAAGAUGAACUUCAUUAAUUUGAGAGGAACCGCGUAUGGCACCUGGUCCCUCGACCCUCAGAUAGAACUGUCAUAGGAACUAGGUGGGUGUUCAGAAACAAGCUUGAUAAAUUUGGGAAUACAACAAGGAACAAGGCCAGGUUAGUAGUUCAAGACUACAAUCAAGAAGAAUGGAUAGACUAUGAUAAAACUUUUGCUCCAGUUGCUUGUUUGGAAGUCACCAGAAUUCUCAUUGCUUUUGCAUCUCAUAUGGAAUUCAAAUUGUUCCAAAUGGAUGUCAAAAGUACAUUUCUGAAUCGGUAUUUAAAGGAAGAAGUCUUCAUCAAACAACCACCUGGGUUUGAGUGUCAUGAGCAUCCUGAGUAUAUAUUCAAACUUGACAAGGCAUUAUAUGGACUGAAGCAGGCCCCUCGUGCUUGGUAUGAACGGUUGUCCAAGUUUCUUCUUGAAAAUGGCUUUACAAGAAGAAAAAUUGAGAACACCCUAUUUCUAAAGAAACAGGGAAGGAACCUGCUCAUUGUACAGGUUUAUGUUGACGAUAUAAUUUUUGGUGCAAUAAAUGACUCCUUGUGUGAGGAGUUUAUAGAGCUUAUGGGAAGCGAGUUUGAAAUGAGCAUGAUGGGGGAAUUAAAUUUUUUCCUAGGGUUGCAAGUUAAGCAAACCCCUAAAGGAAUGAUGAUAAGCCAAUAGUAGUACAUUAAAGAGCUACUAAAGAGAUUUGAGAUGGAAAGCAGAAAAACCAUUGAUACUCCUAUUGCCAGUGCAACCCGUCUAGACUUGGAUGAACCCAGUUCUCUUGUGAACGAAACCAUGUACAAAGGCAUCAUUGGUUCACUCUUGUAUCUCACAGCUAGUAGACCUGAUAUUGUAUUCAGUGUUGGAUUAUGUGCUAGAUUUCAAUCUAGUCCAAAGGAAUCUCAUCUUAAAACUGCCAAGAGGAUUCUAAGGUAUCUUAAAGGAACGCAAGACCUGAUUCUUUACUAUCCUUCAAGGGACAAUUUCGACUUAAUUGGGUAUGCUGAUGCUGAUUAUGCUGGUUAUCAAGUCGAUAGAAAAAGUAAAUCUGGCAUAGCACAUUUUCUAAGAUCAUGUUUGAUUUCAUGGGGGUACAAAGAAAUAAAACUCUGUAGCUCUUUCAACUACAGAAGCAGAGUAUGUGGUAGCUGCCUCUUGCUGUGCGCAACAACUAUGGAUCAAGCAACAACUGGAGGACUUUGGUGUAUUUUAUGAUUGCGUGCCAUUACUGUGUGAUAAUACUAGUGGUCUCAACAUGACAAAGAACCCGGUUCAACAUAAGAGAACAAAGCACAUUGAUGUGCAACAUCAUUUUCUCAGAGACAAUGUUGAAAAGGGUUUUAUCUACAUGAAGUUCUGCAAAACAGAAGACCAAGUAGCAGAUAUCAUUACCAAAGCACUCAACAGAGAGCACUUUGAAAAGAAUCGAUUUGCAUUGGGGCUGAUAAAAUUGAACUAAGCACCAGGUCCCUCUAUCAUUAGCUAUGAAAGAAUGAACAGGUAAAAACAGCUAAAAAGUAUUUUCUGGCAAGUACUAACUCAUCUUUAUACCGUUACAGGUAGACACACACGACAACUACAUAGCAAACAAGUAGCUAAUGACAUUGCAUCUUGGUGAAAAGACGAGGCUCACAUUUACAAAACUAAGUCAGGGAGCCUGGUUUCCUUGACACAUGUUAGUAGUUACUUUGUAUUCUCAUGCACAUUUUAAAACGGCUAUAAAAGUUCCAUGUUAUUAAAAGUUUUGAUCUCUCUCUCUCUUCUCUUUAGAACUCAAACGUCACACCCAUUACUAAACGACCUGUCUACUCGGUGAUUCGUACCCGUUUGUAACCGGUCCCUCACUUCCCUUAAAUAAUCCCAAAAGCUGUCUCUUUCUUCACUUUCCACAUCAAAGACAAAAAUUCCCUUUUCUCUAUCAAAGCAAACACAUUUCUUCUUGUGUCCUCACUAUAAAUCUCCAAUAUGUCUCAAAAUCCAGAAGUUUCAAAUGUCUCUAGUGCAGUCCCCACUGUGUCUUCGUCUCAUAAAGCACAAUAAUAGGAGUUGAAGUCCCCCAUGUCACCAUUACAAACCCCAUACCAGACUAACAACCACCUACUACUUCAUUUCCAACCCAAUCAAGUUCUGGUUCUCACCGCAGUCGUAAAACUCAAAAUCCCAAAUGAUUCGUUAUUGCGACCUCUCCUUCUGCCUCGCUAGUAAAUAUGGCAGAAGGCGAAAUAGUAGAUGGAGACGAAGGUCAGGAAGUUUCUAGUCAGAAAGUUGGGAAAAGCUCUGAGACCCAACAGGAUGUGGCUUGUAGUGGCGAAGUUUCAGUAGUGGCUGUUCCAAGCUUUGAUCUGAAUAUUGCCAGCCCUACAAGUAAUGUUCCUCAUGUAUCCUCUGAUUCUAUUUUGGGGGUAAAUGAGCAAGAAUCCAUUGAGAACAUGUUACUAAUUAUUGCAAAUGGAGUUUUCGUUGGUGGUUAUGAGGGUAAUAAUGAGACCAUUGGGUCUCAGGGGGAAGAUGAAAGUCACAAAGUUAAAGGUGGGGAACUGGCUCUCCUUGAAAACUUUGCACCGGUCAGUACUACUAAGAAAAUAACAGAGGGACCUGAUCCCUCUGCCCAAGAAGAGCAUUUUGUACUUGGGAUGAAACCCCUUGCUCCUCAAAGGAGCCCCAUGUCAGUGUUGAUCCUGCUCAUUCUCCUCACUUCGAUGAUGAGCCGUUGAACUUUGUCAUUCAUGAGAUGAGAUCUCUAUCUGAAGAGAAAAAUGAAAAUAGUGAGGAAGACUAUGAUGAUGUGCCUGUAGCAAGAUUCAUUACUUUUAGAAGUGGAAGGGCAGUUCCUAAAGCGCCCACUCUUAAAAGACCCACUACCAGGCUAUAAAAGAAGGAAGCCCUUGAAAUUGUUCUGAAGAAAAAUAAAGAAGAGAAGAAAAGGAGGAGGUUGGUGAAAUGAGGAAAGCUGGUGAAUGAGGAAGAAGUGCCUCCAGCACUACUUGUUGAUGUUGAUGAUGAAGAAGUGAAUGAGGAACCUGUUUCCUUAAUUCGUAAGUCUUCUAAAGAACCUGUGAUUCUAAAACCCAGGAGAGAGCCAUCUGUGAAAGCUGUGGAAGUGGAAAAUGUUGAGGUAGACAAGUCUGAUGAAAAGGUGUCUGAAAAGUGUGGUAAAAAUUUGUCUGAGAAGUCUGGUGUGAAAUUGUCUGAGAAGUUUGCAAAGAAAGAGAAAAGUGUGAAAACGUCUGUGAAAAGGAAGGUUGGUGACAACGAGGAACCUGGUUCCUCCAAGAAGGCCAAAGUAAGUAUGGCCAAGGAUGAAAGCAGAGCAAACCUGAGAAAACAGAGGGUACUGUGAGGCAGAAUAUUUUCCCCUGACAUUCUGGAUAUGACAGGGAUGCGUCAACUGGUUGAUAUUUGUAAGUUUCAAAAGUGGACACACUUUUUCACCAAUGAUAUCCCCAAGGUAUAUGAGGAAGAAGUGCGUAGCUUCUACGCAGACAUGUUCACAGUGGAGGAUGAUAACAUCUGCUUGAAGGUGAACGGAGUAUACUUUUUGAUGCACGAGGCUGUAUUGAGGAACAUUUUGAGAGUGCCCACUGAAGGGAUCUCAUCCAUUGAGGGGACUUGUUCUCCCAAUUUUAGAAGUGCUAUUCUGAAGGAUGAUGUUGUGCAGCAAGGGGAACAAAUGUACAAAAAGUCCCUCCUACCAGUGUAUCAACUAUUGUUCCAGGUCUCAUGAUCGAGCAUAUGAAGAAAGUGACAAACUUUAAGGAUGGUAAUCAUGGGUUGCCCUACGGGUUCUUGAUCACUAAGGUGUUUAACUUCUUCAAAGUCCCUUUGGGAAAAACAACAGUGGGAACUCGCAAGCAGACCUUCUCAAAGAUCACCUUGGAGGAAUGUGUGUGUAUUGAUAAGAAUGGAGUGGUUGGCAGCAAUUCCUUUAUCUCGCAAUUGAUUGAUGCUUAGAAUGCUGCAAAUGAAGAGAUAAGGAGGUUGAAGGCGCGGAAUGCCAUUCUUGAAGGGGAGCUUAGUCAGUCCCAGAAGGCACCUGGUUCCAGCAGUGCACAAGGCACAGAAAUUGCCUGUCUGACCAAGGAGAAUACAGAUCUUAGGAAACAGGUCGAGGACCUGAAGGAGCUGCUUCUUAACGAGCAAGUAUCUUCAAAUGCUCGAAUAGAUAUUCUCCUCAGUAUCCUUUCCUCUUCAUCCCUGCUUCCCCCUUCUAGUGCUCCUUAAACCAGUUCCCUUCCCAGUGUCCAGUGAAAUAUUAUCUGUCCUACCCUAGUCCUUUUAUUUGUUUUGUUGUUUUGUGGUUGGUACUUUUAAGUUGUUUUGAUUUGUGAAUAGUUGUAUAACAAUGGUCCUACUACUUAUGUUCUCCAUUUUUUAAAAUUAAUGAGCAUCUCUUUUUUUCUAUGCAUGUUAUACUCUUAUGCUAUAUUUUUAGCCAUGCUUGUGUGCACACAUGUGGCAUGAGUUAACCAUGCUGAACUUCUUUUUGCUUAUUACUUGUGAAUAAUCUUUGUAUGAUGCCAAAAGGUGAAAAAAUAAUUGAGAGGGGGAACAUGUUUAGGGGGAAUACAGGAUGGUAAUCUGGUACUCAGGGGGAACUUCAAUUAUAGGUUUGUCAUCAUCAAAAAGGGAAAAAUUAAUAAGUUAUGUGCCUUUUUAGAUUUUGAUUAUCUAACAAACUUUAUGAUAAGAACCAGACCGGGAACCUGUUACACAUUCUCAAGGUUCCAAAGCACAACAAAUCUCAAGUCGAGCAGAAGUUCCAACAACUAGAGUCAAAGAAACGAUAGAGGGACUAGAUGGACAUCAGUUCUCUUAUUGACUGUACCAGUCAACUCCUCAGAGCUGUAAAGUCACUUCAAUUGUUCCUCAGAACACAUGCAACAAUACAAAUAGUGCAUCGAUCACUUUAUUGGGAAUGCGCCAGAUAUUUGCUUGCAUCAUCCAAGUGACAGCACUUGGAUAUUAUUAACAUGAAGCAAAGGAAAAACAUACACCUGCACAUCCGAAAAAUCGAUCAAGUUUCCUCUCAAGUGUGUUGCCAUCUUGCAAGUGACUUCCAGACUUCAAGAACAAAGAACAACGGAACAAAGGACCAGUUUUCAACUUUGUGUUAUCAAUAUGUCCUUAGUUUUGUUGUACAUGUGAUAAGUGAAGUGACAUAUUAUAAUAAGUUAAAUUACACUUAUAGUGUAAAAACUUUGUUCCAUGAAUAUAACUUAAAUCCAAUUACUUAUUAAUAAGUGAUCAUUUAUCAUUCCAUCAAUCAUGUAAUGCAGUGAUUUAGCCCACAACCAUUAAGAAUUAGCUAGCUUCUUUUAUUUUUCAUGUGACUUAAAGUUUGAGAUGUGUUGCAGUAGGUCCGAAUUCCUAUUUGUAAUCUUGGUCCAUCUUGGCCAGAAGCAAAUAUAUACUGCACGUAUCUAUUCAUGUUUUAGAUAUGAGGAGAACUUCACUAAUCUAUUUGUUCUUUAAUUCCUGAGAUUUAGGUACCUUCUGUAUAUAGUAUAGUACGUAUUAAUAAAUACUGAUAUACUACUACUAUAUUGAUAUGCUUCCCAAAACUGUGUAGCACCUAAUGCAGUCUAACUGUUAUAACUCUUGAGAGAUUAUUGGAGCUAUUGGUGGACAAAUAUAUUUCUGGAGCACAUUUUCUAUUAAGAGCACAACAGCUUUGUAUACAGUCGGAACCGAGCUCGCCUACAACAUGGCAGGUUAGGCUCGAAACAUGACAACCAAAGACUAAAAAUCGACCCCUGAGUCCCACCGAGCUAGAACCCGCGGUCAGAACGCCUGUCUUCGAGAAUAUGAAUUCCGUAAUCUCGGAGUCAACUUAGCCCUGAUCGAGCUCGAAGAAACAUUGUUAGCAUAACCAACAGAAGACCGAAAUAUCCGUGACUGGUCGGAUAUUAUGGUGGAAAUCUCGGUACAAAUCAAUAAGGAACCGACAAUCAGUGAAUCAAGAGAUCUUUUACCUUUUAUAGAAUUGUACCUAAAGUAGGACUCCUCUACUAUAUAAAGGGGGGUCUGAUUAUUCAUUGGAACACAUUAUAACACGUAUCCCAAAGCAAUACAUUGUUAUUCUCUUUAAGUUCUUAUUAUUCUAUCUUGAUAUUGUUCGAAAUACGUUCGUCUCGAGGUGAGUAACCUUUCAAGGCUGAAACUGUUCAAUUCAUGCGGUUUGCAUUUACUUUAUCGUUAUUUACUUCAAUUGCAAUCUGAUUUAUCAUUUUGUAUCAAUUUAAUCCACGUAUCCUUAAAACCACUUACAAAUUCAAUUAUUAUCCGAUUUUGAGGUUAAACAGUUUGGCGCCCACCAUGGGGCUAAGGAUAAUAGUGGUUAUUUGAUACAAAUCUCCAUAACACAUACUACUUUACACUUAUUCUUUGAAGUGUCUCUAAUUUUAGGUUAAAACUCAAAAUGUCGAACUCUCAAUCAGCACCCCUACAUGUUGAUAACGAGUCCGGCCAUCAUGGUGAAAAUAACAACAUAACGCCCGGUGAGGAAGUACCAACCGUUGAUCCCAUAUGAAUUCCGUUCGCAGACCCAAUUGACGCUAAUUCACAUGUGGCUAUCAACACAAUCUUUCCUACCGACCCCGAGAAUAUUGUACGUGGUAGAGCCCGAUCGGCAACUCAAAACACACAAAAUAUUGGAGGAGACGAGAUCAGUUUAUGGGUGAUCUUCGAAAUGAUGCAGGCCCAAUAGGCGGCGAUAGCUCAGUUACAGAACCAAAAUCGUGCACCAAUCAGGGUUGAACCCGAUCCACCCCGGGAAGUCACUCGCAGGGAUGAACCGGUCACAGAAAGGUCAAAUGAACAUUAAUCAUGGGCUAACCCCGAGAUCACAAAGAUGCUUGAAGAGCUGACAAAACAAAUAGAAUCAGAGGAGAAGAAAAUCGAAGCUAAUGACAAAAAGGUGGAAACCUACAAUUCCAGGGUAGACCAAAUCCCAGGAGCACUGCCAAUAUUGAAAGGCCUGGAUUCCAAAAAGUUCGUGCCAAAAUCUUUUCCUUCGAGCGCGUCUUCGAAGCCGAUCCCUAAGAAAUUCCGUAUGCCCGAGAUUACUAAGUAUAACAGUACAACCGAACCAAAUGGGCAUGUAACCUCUUACACAUGCGCCAUCAAAGGGAACGACUUGGAGGAUGAUGAGAUUGAGUCUUCCCUGUUGAAGAAGUUCGGAGAGAUCCUGUCAAAAUGGGCUAUGUUAUGGUAUCACAAUUUACCUCCUAAUUCUAUUGAUUCAUUCGCAGUUCUUGCGGAUUCUUUCGUGAAAGCACACGAUGGAGCCAUCAAGGUCGAGACCAAGGAAUCAGAUCUUUUCAAAGUAAAACAGAAGGAUAAUAAGAUGCUCAGAGAGUUCGUGUCCCGGUUUCAAAUUGAACGAAUGGACCUGCCACCGGUCUCUGAUGAUUGGGAUGUUCAGGCUUUCACCCAAGGGCUCAAUGUUCGAAUCUCGGUGGUUUCACAACAGUUGAGACAAAACCUAAUAGAAUAUCUGGCUGUUACUUAGGCCGAUGUGCAUAACCGGUAUCAAUCAAAGAUUAGAGUGGAAGAUGAUCAACUCGGGGCCCCUUCAGGGUCUGUUUAUCCCGUCAGAACCAUCAACAGAGUCAAGAGAGACAUCGAUCGUGAACCGAGACUAAACAGGGAUCGAUAUCAGCCGUAUAAUGGAGACCGAAGAAGCAGUGGGUCUGGGAGGAACUCCAUGAGAAAUGAAAGGAGAAGUGACCGAGGUUAGAGCAACCGAGACUAAUAAGAAAACACAGCUUCGACAGGCCCAUCAGGCCUAAAAAGCACCGAGGUUAUCGGAAUACAACUUUAAUGUCGAUGUUGCCGCCAUUAUGUCAGUUAUCGGACACAUCAAAGAUACUAAAUGGCCUCGACUUCUACAAUCCGAUCCAAGACAAAGGGAUCUUAACCAGAUAUGUAAAUAUUAUGACACUCACGACCACAAAACGGAGGAUUGCCGACAGUUUAGAGAGGAAAGUAUCGUGACUAUUCAACAUCGGGCAUCUUUGAGAAUUCCUAAGCGACCGAGCCAAGAAUCAUUUCAGGAAUAGGGAUUCUAACAAACAGAACAAACAAGAAGAACCUCAACAUGUCAUUAACAUGAUCAUUGGUGUGGUCGAUAUCCUUCAGGGGACGGUGUUUAAGCGCACCAAAGUGUCUAUCACGAGAGAGAAAUGAACUCGAUAUUACAUGCCGGAAGGAACCCUGUCUUUCAACGACGAGGACGCGGAAGGGAUCAUGCAACCCCAAAUGUGUGUUAAUUGAUCCAUGUAGCUCGGCCAAUAUCAUCCGAUCAAGGGUCGUGGAGCAGCUCGAUCUACAAGAUCAAAUAGUGCCCACAGUCCGAGUUCUAAACGGAUUCAACAUGGUAUGUGAAACCACUAAGGGUGAGAUAACAUUACCGGUGAACACCGCCGGGACCAUCCAGGAAGCUAAGUUUUAUGUAAUCGAAUAAGACAUGAGGUACAACGCUUUGUUCGGAAGGCCAUGGAUCCAUAACAUGAGGGCAGUACCCUCAACUCUGCACCAAGUGUUAAAAUUCCCAACACCAUGCGAAAUUAAAAUAAUCUAUGGAGAACAACCAGCCGCAAAGGAGAUGCUUGCGGUCGAAGGGGCGAUACCGAUAUCCGCACUUGCAAUGACAAAAGGGGCCGAGUUCGGUCAUAAAACCAGAAACUAAUCAGCAGUUACCAACACCAGCUACGACCCAACCAGAGAAACAGGGGACUGAUGAAGAAGAUGACUAUGGGGUACCCAGGUCUUUCAUAGCCCCCGAUGAUUCCGACGCCACUAAAUCGACGACCGAGGAGCUGGAACAGGUCAUAUUGGUCGAGCAUCUACCCGAUCAAAAGGUAUACCUGGGCACGGGGUUAAAUUCCGAGCUCAGGAAAAAACUCCUUCAUUUUCUUAUCGCUAACAUAGAUUAUUUCGUUUGGUCCCACCUUGACACGACAGGGAUCCCGCCGGAAAUAACCACUCAUAAGCUAAGCCUGGACCCGAAGUCCCAUCCAGUGAAAUAGAAGAGGAGACCCCAGUCCGAGAUCAAACAUGCUUUCAUCAAGGAUGAGGUAUCUAAAAUCCUCAAAAUAGGUUAUAUUUGGGAGGUUAAAUACCCGGAUUGGUUAGCGAACGUAGUGGUAGUCCUUAAAAAAGGGAAUAAAUUAAAAAUGUGUAUAGACUAUAAGGAUAUGAAUAAGGCAUGUCCCAAGGACUCUUUCCCUUUGACUAACAUCGAUCUUAUGAUCGAUGCCACGGCCGACCACGAGAUCCUCAAUUUUCUCGAUGCCUACUCCUGGUACAACCAAAUACGAAUAGACGUGGGUGAUUAGGAAAAAACCUCCUUCAUCACUAAAUACAACACAUACUGCUAUAACGUGAUUCCAUUCGGAUUAAAAAAUGCCGGUGCCACUUACUAACGCCUAGUAAAUCGGAUGUUUGAGCAACAAAUAGGAAAAUCAAUGGAGGUUUACAUUGAGAUAUGUUGGUUAAGUCCUUGCGAGCAUAGGACCAUUUAAAAUAUUUAUAGGAAACCUUCAGCAUAUUGAAGAAAUACAAUAUGAAGUUGAACCCGGAGAAAUGUGCGUUUGGAGUCGGGUCAGUUAAAUUCCUCGGAUUCAUGGUAUCCAACCGAGGAAUCGAGAUCAACCCCGACAAAAUCAAAACCAUCAAAGAUAUCACAGUUGUGGACAAUGUGAAGGCUGAGCAAAGAUUAACCGGGCGCAUAGCCGCCCUAGGGCGAUUCAUCGCGAGGUCCUCCGACAAGAGCCACCGGUUUUUCACACUAUUGAAGAAGAAGAAUAACUUCUCAUGGAACCCGGAGUGCCAACGGGCCCCGGAGGAACUCAAGAGAUAUCUAUCGAUCCCGCCACUACUUCACACGUCAAAGACAGACGAACAACUAUAUGUACUUGGCAGUAUCAAAGAUAGCGGUAAGUGGAUUCCUGGUCCGAGAAGAGCAAGGUACGUAAUUUCCAAUUUACUAUGUUUGCAAGACCCUAGGUGAGGCCGAAACUAGGUACCCUCACCUAGAAAAGCUGGCGCUCGUUUUGCUUAGCACCUCUAGAAAGCUAAAACCAUACUUCCAGUGUCACCCCAUAUAUGUAGUGACUACUUACCCAUUGAGGAAUGUUAUGCAUAAGCCCGAGCUAUUGGGUCGGUUGGCCAAAUAGGUCGUGGAAAUCAGUGGGUACGAUAUUGAAUAUUGACCCCAGACCACCAUUAAGUCUCAAAUUUUGGCACACUUUGUGGCCAACUUUACGCCAGCCCCAAUACCCGAGGUAGAUUAAACCUCCUCUGGGAUCUGUACCCUCUUUACGGACGGUGCCUCGAACGCAAAAGGGUCCGGACUUGGCAUCGUAUUGAAGCCACCAACAGGCAAUGUAGUUAGACAAUCUAUUAGGGCUGUGAAAUUGACUAACAAUGAGGUCGAAUAUGAGGCCAUGAUUGCAGGUCUCGAACUAGCCAAAAGCUUNNNNNNNNNNNNNNNNNNNNNNNNNNNNNNNNNNNNNNNNNNNNNNNNNNNNNNNNNNNNNNNNNNNNNNNNNNNNNNNNNNNNNNNNNNNNNNNNNNNNNNNNNNNNNNNNNNNNNNNNNNNNNNNNNNNNNNNNNNNNNNNNNNNNNNNNNNNNNNNNNNNNNNNNNNNNNNNNNNNNNNNNNNNNNNNNNNNNNNNNNNNNNNNNNNNNNNNNNNNNNNNNNNNNNNNNNNNNNNNNNNNNNNNNNNNNNNNNNNNNNNNNNNNNNNNNNNNNNNNNNNNNNNNNNNNNNNNNNNNNNNNNNCAAAGGUAGUUGAGGCCAAGUGCGACUCUUUCCUUGUGGUAAACUAAGUUAAUGGGACGUUCGAGGUAACAUUAAUGGGACGUUCGAGGUAACAUUACAUAAGUUGCAGGUAACAUUACAUCAGUUCAAAGAAUGGACUUUGCAACACAUACCUCGGGAUCAAAACAGUGAGGCCGAUGCCCUAGCUAACUUAGGGUCAUCGAUCGAGGACGACUAGUUUAACUCAGGGGCGGUCAUACAACUUAUGAUAUCGGUAGUGGAAGAAGGCCAUGCCGAGAUUAACUCAACGAGCCUAACUUAGGACUGGAGAAAUAAAUAUAUGAAAUAUCUGAAGACCGGAAAACUGACCUCGGAUGCAAAAGAAUCGAGGGCCCUGCGUACAAAGGCAACCUAGUUUAGCAUGUCCGAAGAAGAAACCCUAUUCAAAAGAACAUUCGAUGGCCCACUCGCGAUAUUUCUAGGACCAGGAGAUACCGAGUACAUUUUCAGGGAAAUCCACGAAGGCACCUGCAUAAAUCAUUUAGUCACCGAAUCAUUGGUUCAAAAAGUGAUCAGAGUCGGCUACUACUGGAUCGAUAUGGAAAAGGACGCGACGAAGUUCGUACGAAAAUAUGAUGAAUGUCAAAGACACGCUCUAUUGAUUCAUCGGCCCAUGGAGCUGCUGGAUUCGGUUUUGUCACCAUGGGUGUUCAUGAAGUGGGAAAUGGAUAUCGUUGGCCACCUUCCAUGGGCACCCGGUAAGGCUCAAUUUAUAUUGUUUAUGACUGACUAUUUUUCUAAGUAGGUGGAAGCCCAGGCAUAUGAAAAGAUCAGGGAGAAAGAAGUCAUCGAUUUCAUUUGGGACCACAUCAUAUGCCGGUUCGGAAUACCGGCCGAGAUCAUAUGCGAUAAUGGGAAAUAAUUCAUCUGCAGCAAGGUGAGCAAAUUUCUCGAAGAUCAUAAGAUCAAAAGAAUCAUAUCAACACCCUACCACCCUAUUGGGAACAGGCAAGUAGAAUCGACCAACAAAACCAUACUCCAAAACCUCAAAAAGAGGUUGACCGACGCCAAAGGAAAAUUGAAGGAAAUUCUACCUGAAGUCCUAUGGGCAUACCGUACGACCUCGAAGUCCAGUACUGGGACCACCCCGUUCUCACUGGUUUACGGCGCCGAAGCUCUAUACCAGUCAAAGUCGGUGAACCAAGUCUUGGGUUCCGAUAUGCAACCAAGGAAUCGAACGACAAGGCUAUGAACACGAACCUAGAUAUAUUAGAUGAAAGGCGCGAAGCAGCCCUUGUCCGGUUGGCCGCCCAAAAAUAGCAGAUUGAGAGAUAUUACAAUUGAAGGGCCAACCUUUGACACUUCAAUGUCGGGGACUUAGUGUUAAAGAAGGUCACACUAAACACUCGAAACCCAAAAGAAGGGAAGUUGGGGAUGAACUGGGAAGGACCUUAUCAAAUUAUCGAGAUCACCGGUAAAGGAUCAUACAAGCUCGUAACAAUGAACGAUGAGCAACUACCGAACAACUGGAACGUAACUCACAUGAAGUGAUACUACUGUUAAGGUAAGACCCCAUUAUUUUCCUUUUAUUUAUUUACAUUACGAACUAAAACUUGUAGGCAAUCAUCAAAGAACGAUACAAUAUUUAGGCCCGAAUGCAUGCGUUGCACUCUUUUUCCCUUGAACUAGUUUUGUCCCAAAUGGGUUUUCCGGUAAGAUUUUUAACGAGGCAACAAUAAAUCGUGCUAACUUAUAAUUGAAGGGCGGUUACGAACCGGUAUCGAAGAUCACGACAAUAGUAUCCGAGGUCUCUCUACGCUCGUCCCCGAACACUGGGGACAUCAACUCGGUUAACGACUUUAGCAAGGAAGCAAACCUUAUGAUUGAAUGGUCUCGGCUCGAUCGAUAGGAUUUACUGUAAGGGCCAGACGGUUACAUGAAUUGUGCCCACAUAGACUACUUGGGCCCUGGCACAAAACUUGUAUACAUGUGUAACUAUUAUGCACAAGAAUAAAAAGAAGCUUUUACCUUACGGAUAAACAUCUUGUCCUGUAAGAAUUUAUUUUUUUUCUUUUAAGGAAUUACUUACAUUCGAUCCCCUAAAGGUAUCGAGCCCAAGGGGCGGCUUUAUUGGGGUUCAAACGAUCACUCCCAAUCGGGGGCUGCCGUCAAAAAUCAAAAUCAGAUAGCUCGGGCUAUCGGAGCCCGGGGGCACAAGACCUAUUAGGCCACGCUCGAACCUUAAAGGCUAUGGCCACCCCCAUUCAGGGACUGUUAUCUUAGGCAAGCCCAAAUAACUUGGGGUAACAAGCCCACUGGGCAAUACCCGAACUAAAGGCUACGGUCAUAUUAAAACGACUCAGAGAUGUCCGAGACCUGUAGCAAAAAACAAGGCCUUCAAAAUUUCAUAACCGUUUCUAAAGGCUACGUUCAGCAAACUAUAAUCUAAAAAAUCAUAAGUACUUUGGGGAAAAUGUUUCUGGUCAUACCAAACCCCCAUGAUGCUUUAAACAAAAUAAUGUCAAAGGCAAGGUCCAAACAUGACCUAACUAUUUUAUGCUUAGGCAUUUUGAUGUUUGAAAACAUAAAGAAUAAAGCAAAGGAAACUAUUUUAUGCUAAGGCAUUUUGAUCUUUGUAAACAUAAAGAAUAAAGCAAAGGGCAAAAUUCUUAAACUGUCGAAGGGAAAAAUAAGCCUUGUAUAUUAUAUACAGUCUUUACAAAGGCCAAACGACCUUAACAAAAAUACGAAAGUACACAAGAAAAACAAAAAACCGAAAAAUUUCUACAAAAAGCGUCUAAACAUCCUGAUCUUCUCCACUCUCGGGUCCAUUGGAAUCCUUAGAGUCUUCUUCUUCUUCUUCUUCUUCUUCUUCUUCUUCUUCUUUAGGGUAGGCCAAUUUCUUGGCCUCGAGCCCCUUAGCGAUUUUGAUCUCGGCUGAUAGAUCAAAACCCUGAGCAUGAAUCUUCUCGAGGACCUCUCUUCGCGACUGUCGCUUCUCAUAAUCAACAAUAUCCUUCAAGCGGUCCUGGGACGCCUCGGCCUUAUAUUGAGCUACCAUCUCGUCGGCGUCGGCUUUAACAAUCACGACCACUGACUUGGUCGUUUCAAGUUCCUUGGCCAUAAUUUCUUGAUCAGAGGCAGCCGAACUUAGCCGAGACUGCAGCUCUUCGACCUUUUUGGCCUGCACCUCAGCUCUUUCCUUUACUGCUCAAAGCUGGACCUCAGCUGAAGUGAGUUGCGCUUGAGCAGCCUCUUUUUUUGAGGCCAGACGAUCCAUCCUGCCCCUCCAUUCGUCGGUCUCGGCCUUGACAACGUCCAUCUCAACUCGAAUUUGGGCUACUUGGUCGAUUUUCAAUUGGACCUGCGGAUUCCGAUCAUUAGUCACUGAGCCUAGCUCGUCGUCACUAACCUCAAAUAUGUUUACCUGCUCGACCAGAUCAGCCUUCCGAGCCACCUCGAGCUCAUCUCGGAGGCUCUUAGCCUCCCUUCACGCUGCUCACUAAGAAGUUUGUAGGAAUCUCAUUUCUCAGUGAGCCCUCGGACCUCGGCCUCAAGCUGUUUCAGCUCAUCCCGGUAUCGGAAAAAAGUCUCGUGGUGAAGUACCGAGGCCUACAAGCACAAAGAGAAAAUGUUAGAAUUAUUUACAAAAUAGCCUAAGUACAAAUUGAAAACCAUUGAGGAAUAUCUAAAGUUACCCGAUUUAACGCCUAUUGCGCUUCGUUGAACAGAUAAGGUGCAUCCACCUCAUUCAUCUUGGCAUGAUCAUCCUCGGUCACCAGAUAUCAAAGAUAACUAUCCAUCCCUAUGGGGGCGGAGAGGACCCGGGAGUCCUCCGAAAGGGAGAAAGUGAUGAAUCGUUUCCGGCGGGAAUCCACACUCGGGGCAGGGAAUCGAUUGAAUAGUUUGGGGCUCAAGGAAGGUCCGCUUUCUCCCGAAUAUGGGCUCUUCCUCGGUAUCUCUAAAUCACCCAACCCGGUGACGCCCUCCGUGGACGUAGAGUCCACUCCAUCAAAGAAGCCGCAAAAGGGAUUGUCCGCUCCGAGGACUCCCUUAUUGGGAAAUUCUUUCACCGUUUGAGCCUCAUUGUACAUGGACUCAGUGAACGAAGAUUACUCGGUGAUCUCUAUCACACUGAGUGCUUCCUUUGGUGCACUGCCUACGUCCCGGGAAACUUCGGUCUCAGCCUCCUCCUGUCCCUAGCUUGAUGAAGAUCGGCAUCGUCUCCCUCUGGUUUGGAGGCCCCUUUCCCUUCGAGCCGUGUCAACAUUCGGGCCACCAGAUUGAAGGUUUCUUCCUCUUGUUCUUCUUCGGAUUCAUCCCUCAUCUGAUAGAGAGAACCCAGAGGUGGUGCUCGAGCGCUGGUGCUCUCUUUGGACUUAUACACCAGCCUUCUUUUCGGCUUUUUCUUCUCCGAGCUUGGAGAACUCGGGGCCCUUUUUAUUUUCUUCUCUUCACCAUGUCUCAGAGCAGGGGACUCGGUAGGGACAUCAUCGCUACCAGAUGGGGGCCUCAUUUGGACAUCCUUGGAUAAACCUGCAAAAAGGGAAUAAAGCAAGUGAGAAUUUUGCAUAAGGAAAACCAAAUAUUACCCAUAAAAGAGAUCUCACCAUGCGAACGGACCUCUCAUAGACCCUUUGAAAGCUCGCGCCACGAGCGCUUGGAAUAGGGCCUUCGCUAUACGAUGCCCUCGACCCACUAUUUGAGUCGAGGAACUGCAUUCGGGACCCGAGCAACAACUACACCACCACAGAACACCGGUAAGUAGGAAGGAAAAAGGCGAUAAAUUAAAAUUUUGGAACCUAAAUUAUACUUACAUGACAUGUUCCACUUCUCAGGGAAUGACAUGUGCUGGCCGGGAUCAAGUCCGAGGUCUUCACUCGAACGAAACGACCUAACCAACCUCAAUCCCUAUCCUCGUCGAUACUGGAGAACGGGGCGUUACUGGUCCGACGGGUGAGCUUGAUCAAUCCCCCCGGUAGAGUCGGGGACUGUACAAACGCAUGAGGUGGUCGAUAGUAAAAGGAAACCCUUCGAUCGUUCUUACAAAGAAACGGAUGAGGAUUACGAUCCUUAGAAAGAAGGUUAGAUUUGACCGAAGGUUAUCUCAUAUCUUUUGCAAAAGUCGAUAAUAACCGGGUCUAAGGGGCCCAAUGUGAAGGGAUAAGUAUAAGCACUUGAAAAUACCUCGACGUGGGUGGUGAUGGCUUCGUCAGGUUCGGGAACCACCAUAUAUUUGUCAACCCAGUUACAAUCUUUCUUGACUUUGGAGAGAAUAUCCUCGGUGAUCGAGUAGAUGUACCUCGAGACCCCCUCACACCGGCCUGGUAUGGAGGAGGGCUUUUUGACUUUAAAAUUAGCAUUGACCGGGCAUCCCCCUGGGAUGUACAUUUUUAGAGGAGGUUCCGGUGCUGGUUCCUCAGUAGCAGUAUGUGAAGCGGUCUCUUCGGUAGCCGGCUACGAGGUAGAAGGAGUUUCUUUUUGGGAAACGGUUUUGGAAGUUUUCGCCAUUUCUUUAUAGAGAGGAAAUAAGGAAAAAGAGGAAGUUAUAAGAGUACACUCGGUGGUUUGAGAAAAAUACGAAUGAGAGUUCUUAUCAAAUAUCUCAAAGUAACUAGAAUAUAAGUGCUUGGAAGUAUUAAAAUUUCUUAGGAACAAGGUCAGAAGGUUUGAAUUUAAAGUUUGAAUGAACAAAUGAGGGGGUAUUUAUAGUUUUUCAUUGACGGUUCACAUCUAGGAGUGGCUGACCAGCAACUGACGAGCAUUUAAUGCCAUUAAGACUUGACUGGCGAUACGUUUCGACUGCUUUGUCGUUUCUGUCAUGUGGUGCCUAAAAAAGAAUCGAAAGGUCAUUUCAUUUCUCGUCUCUACUCUUCGAAAAAUGAGGAAACUAUUUGUAUACGGUCGGAAUCGAGCUCGCCUAUGACAUGACAGAUUAGGCUCGGAUUAUGACAACCAAAGAUUGAAGAUCGACCUCCGAGUCCCACCGAGCUAGAACCCGGGGUCAGAACGCCUGUCUUCGAGAAUAUUAAGUCCGUAAUCUCGGAGUCAACCUUAGCCCCGAUCGAACUCGAAAAAAUAUUAUUAGCAUAACCAACAGAAGACCGAAAUAUCCGUGACCGGUCGGAUAUUAUGGCGGGAAUCUCGGCACGAAUUAAUAAGGAACCGGCAAUCAGUGAAUCAAGAGAUCUUUUACAUUUUAUAGAAUUGUACCUAAAGUAGGAAUCCUCUACUAUAUAAAUAGGGGUAUGAUUAUUCAUUGGAACACAUUGUAAUACGCAUCUCAAAACAAUACAUUGUUAUUCUCUUUAAAUUCUUAUUCUUCUGUCUUGAUAUCGUUCGAAAUACGUUUGUCUCGAGGUGACUAACCUUCCAAAGCUGAAACUGUUCAAUUCGUGCGGUUUGCAUUUACUUUAUCGUUAUUUGCUUCAAUUGCAAUAUGAUUUAUCAUUUUGUGUCAGUUUAAUCCACGUUUCUUUAAAAUCACUUACAAAUUCAAUUGUUAUUCGAUUUUGAGGCUAAACAAACUUAAGCCGAUCUUGAUCUAUACAAAUACCGAUCGAGCUAAUUUAAUUCACGAAUCUUGCUGGUAAUGUGUGCCUCUAUACGUAAUCUAGCUAUUCUUUUUUCUUUGAUUUUCUUCCUUGUUUUUAGACAUCCGUUAUAUGAAACUCACUAGCCCACUAAUUCGGACUCCUCCCGGAUAAGCUUUAUUACUAUAGGAUAAAAUGCUCCUAACCAAGAAGUUCUUUCUUUCCAGAGCUCGAGUUUGAUUAAGGGUGAAAAAUCUCAACCAACCCACCGUACUCCUUUGUGUUUAUAUGUAAUCUAGUUCAGAUGAUUCAGGGAAAUAUUAACUCCCCCUGGAAUCUUUACAAUGAUGUUGAAAAGAUCAAGAAAAUGGUAAGAAGUCACAACAUACAAAUCUCUUACUGUUUUAGAGAAGGGAAUAUGGUGGCGGAUGCCUUAACCAAGCAUGCUAUUAACCUCAGCCAACAUGUCCUAUAUGUUCAGGAAAGUCAAUUGCCUAAUGAUGCCAGAGGCACUCUGAGAAUGGAUAAGCUUAACCUCCCUUCUUUUAGAAUAAGAGUAGCCAAGCACAUAGGUUGGUUUUAUGAACCACCAUGAUGUUAGCUCCAUACUUCUAUCCAGGACUCAACAAGCUGAUCCUGGUACACUCAGCUCCCUUAAUCCAAAUGAAGACUUCAUUGACCAGUCGCAAUCUCGAUGGCAGUUACUGUUAUAACGCUAUAGCUUCUUUAGCUAAUAGCAACUCUGUUACAAGGUUUAUUCUCUUGACUAUUGAUUGGUUGCGUCCAAUCCAAGCAUUUCACUUUUCUAGUUAGGCUAACUAGUAUUACCGGAGAUAAGGUAUUAUGUCCCCCUCUUGUUGUAUUAACUUUUGAGAUUUUAAUAUACAAGGCAGGGGCCAAUGCCAAACCCCCACCACGGGAGGUGAAAGCAUGGGUGCAUGGUUUUAAUAAAAAUAAAAAAAAAUCUCCUAUGACUCUUCCUAGAUCUCCUUUAGAAAUAAUACACUGAGAAAUUAAAAGAGGGAACGAACAUCCAUAGACGUUAAGCAUGCGCAUAUGGUGCUAUAUCAUUUACGUAUCGUAUCAGUAUAAAGGUAAACUUUUGAGUAAUUAAUAAGGAAACAGAGAGGUAUGCUUGGUCAAAGAAUAGUUAAAUAGCAUCUGCAGAAUGCUAGUGUGUAGUGGGGUCUGAGCUAUUGGGCGGGAGUGAAAUUAAGCAGAGGAGCACAUGAUGUUAUUUUUUAUCAGUCAUCUUUGCUGAUUCUAUAUGGUAUUCUUUGGCUUGAUUUUGUCUAAUGUGUAGUUUAAUUUGUAGGCAACAGCCAAGAUGAAGGAAGCUGGCAUUUCUGACAUAUUAACAGAAUUUGUACCCUUUGUUGAAUUUUUGCCGUUCCAGGAUUUUUCCGUGCUGAAACAAAGAUUCUGUAUAUUGAACAUAUAUGAAUAUGGUCCCUCCUACUAUUUAUUACUGAAAGGUAUCAGGAGUCCCCAGGGGCAUAUUUAGGACGUACGUGCUCCAUGGUCCAAGCUAAACCGGUGCUUGUGGCCCGAAUUAUGUAUGCAUCUGCAAAAAGAAUUUUGUAAUAUAUACAUAUAAUAAGAUCAUACUCGUAAUGAACAUACUAACUCUAAAUUUUGGAUUCACUUCUUGCUCUACCCGCGUCUUAUCCUAUGCCAAAUUGCCAACGCAUUGCCUUCCCAUCUCCGCAAGCAGCAGGGAAGAAAGAGCUUUUAGGGGACGACAGUUUUAAGGUAAUAAGACUUUGCUUACUAAUACAGAAAGAAGAUUUGACUACAUUCAUAGCAUGCUUUCCCUUUAAAAAAACAUGAAUGUCCAAAAAACAAAAAUCUUACCUUGAUAAAAAAUAAAAAAUAAAAAAAAUAAAACCAUGAAUGCCAAUCCACAUAAUUGAUCAAUUUUUCUGACCGAAGCAGUUUUAGAAGUUCCCAGAAUUCAAAAGUUACCUGGAACACCUUGAAAUCACCACCAAAAAAAAUAAAAAUGUUUUUGGUAUCGAAUAUCAUUGCUGAUUAACCAGACAUCAACACUAGGAACUUCUAAAAAAGACCCUAUAACUCCAAUGACUACCGAGCUUGAUGUAUCACUUUGCGAUGCAGUGUCAAAAAAGAACGCUACAAUCUUAGAUUCAUGAUCAAGAUACACCAAGAGAGUGACUCACUGCUGCACUUGAUCUGGAACAGAACGCCUCCAGAUACCAACCAAGGCACUGCCAAAUAUUGAGUGACAAACACUAGAAACUGCACAUGGUACUGCAGUAAGCGGGUUACCAAAGUGCUGAGUGGCUAGAACUACUCCAAGAACCGAGUUCUGCAACAAACAAAGUACAAUUUAAUGAGUAUACAGCACCUUACUAAAAGGCAUGGUUUAUAUCAAUGGCUUAUCCAAUUAUUUAAGUGUCAUCUUUCCCCUGAUUGUUUUUCAGGUGCCAUUUUGUAAUACGUUUACAAAUAUUUUCUUCAGUCAUAUACUGAGGGCUGGAAGUGGCAAUUCUUUUUCGAUAAAUGGGGGAGAGAGAGAGAGCGCUCUUCCCAGAGCCUAUUUCUGAAAUCAUCUGCUUACCUGCAUGCCGACUUCAAUAGAUAUUGUCCUUGAGGACGAUACAUCAACCCCGAGCAUCCUUGAGAGCACGUAGCCAAAGAAGAAGCCAGGUGCAUGAAGAAGAGCAGCAGCUAAGACAACCUGUUGACCUGACAUGAGGAUUGCAGAAGAACUCUGCGCAAUUGCAUUUCCACAAAGAACUGCAACAGUUGCUACAGCAAUAGGGGGCAUCAAUGGAAACACAAUUUUGACAAGGCUUUUGAAAUACUGAUUCAGAAAUGCACCAGCUAAGACAGGAAGAAGAACCACCUGCAUGUUGGCAGGGUUUAUAAUUUAUUCUGACGAAUUACAAUACUACGAUAAUGAUAAGCCAAUAACCAAAUUAGGAAACAGACCUGCAAAGUGGACAUGAAAAGUCCAGCUGCAUCUACUGCAACAAGUUGCCCUGCAAGUUUCUCUGUUAGGAAAGGGGUCAUCCACCUGCAUGUGUAACCAGAAAGGUCAAUUAACUUAAGGGAGCUCUCACACCAUCAGAUAGGAUUAGAGUAUCUUUCAUGAUAUUAAGAGAAGCGUGAGACACAUUCAACAAUAAGAGGAAGUGUGGGAGCUUUUUCCCACAUUGUUUAAGAAUAUGAGUGUACUAAUAAAGAACCGCCCACCAGUCUUAGACAAAAGUUCUCUGGUUGCUUACUAAUAAGUGAGAUGAUAAAGUGCUUUGUUUAUUACGUUUAGAUAUAAAGAUCACCGUUUGUGUCUUUUAGGCGCACUCGCAAACACGGAUUUGCUUACCAAUAAUUUUGCUGUUAAAGUUAAACACAGAUCAACAAUUUAAUAAAACUAUGUAUGAAGAAAACAAUCUAAGAACCUAAAUCUUUUCUUAUAUUCUUGACCAUCCAAACACACUUUCCUGUUCUGAACUUGACACUUCCAUAUGACCAUUGAAUACUCAAUGUUACGCUCUCUAAUUCUGCACCUUGAUUGUAGGCUAGAGGCAAAAUAUUUGGACCUGUUUGCACAACAACUCUGGUGGUAGGGAUUAAUUUAAUCAUUUCUUUUAGUGCUGAAGCCUUCACUUAAUCUGCAUAUUUUUCCCAUCUGAAUUUCAAAAACAUCCUGUCUACAUCUGAUGUCGAUCCUGACAGUUCAUCUUUGUCUUUGACGUUGGCAACAAUUGACUGCUCUGAUAAUCUUACUAAGCUUGUAUUGCUCUUAGGACAAAAUGGACCAACUCCUCCAAAUGCCUUUAUGCUUUUAGAAAUCAAGAGAAUUCAAAUUCAAAGUAAUUUGAAAAAGAAGCUCCCCAGGUUUGUUUUAGAUGCUUGUUGAUUAUUCUGUCAAUAAUGCAUUUCUUUGUCGGCCAAAAGGUUUCUUCACAAGACUUUGGAGUUACUUUAAGUUACACAUUUCAGAACUAUCUCAUGAAUUGUUUUAGGUCACUUAUCCUUGGGAUGCAUAAAACACACGACAUACGCAUAUGGACAGAUAUAAACGUCUUAUAUGCAUAUUAUAUUCAUCAACCAAACAAAACUACUAACCACAGCAGAUAGGGUACUUGCAGCAGUCAUCAAUACUGAAAGCGCCACAUUGCCACUGCAGUUGAAUGAAGUAUCAACACCUAGUAGGUAUUAUAAUGGAAACAACAGCAAACCAACAGUAAUAUGAAUAACAAUGAUACAAGAGAACUUUCCUCAAGUACCUACCGUGCAAUGUAAGUGACAAUAUUACUUGCCGUCCCUGCAGAAAAAUGCAUGAGAUGCUUAGUAAAUGUCUAUAAGUAGAAGGUUUUGAAAAGGAGUCUAACUAAGCAUACCUCCAGGACAGCAGCCAACCAAUAUCAAGCCUGCUGCAUAAUAGGAUGGCAAAUUUAACAGCUUGCUAAUAAAUACCCAAGGGUGUGGCCUAGUGGUCAAUGAAGUGAGUGAGAACCAUGAGGUCUCAGGUUCAAAUCCACGGAGCCAAAUACUAGGUGUUUUCUUCCCAUCUAUCCAAGCCUUGGUGGAUAGAGUUACCUGGUACAUGUUGCUGGUGGGAGGUGGCAGGUAUCCCGUGGAAUUAGUCGAGGUGUACGCAAGCUGGCCCGGACACCACGGUUAUAAAAAAAAAGAGGCAUCACCUACACCAGAAAACAGGCUGAUAAUAUGUCCACGCCAAGAAAAUUAAGCAGGAAAUAUAUUUUCUUAGUAGUGUGGGAUAAACUGCAAAUCUAACGCAGGUCGUCACAAGAAAUGGACAACGAAUGACUAAUGAAUGACAAGGUAAACAGAAAUGCGGAACAAGUUCACUUUAUAUAGAAAGCACUUUCCGAGAGACAUCACAGGAAGUGCAAUUUGUUGAACAAAAGAGAGGAUGGACAAAUAGAACAAACUAUUAGUUUAACAGGGAAAAACGAAGUCCAGGGAAGCAUAUAUUUGAGUUGCAAUCUAAGAGCUAACAUUCAAGAGGAACAACAACAACAACAAGAACCCGGUAUAAUGCCACUAGUGGGGUCUGGGGAAGGUAGUGUGUACGCAGACCUUAUCCCUACCCUGGGGUAGAGAUAGACCCUCGGCUUCCUCCCUUCAAGAACUUCCCACCUUGCUCUUGGGGUGAUUCGAACUCACAACCUCUUGGUUGGAAGUGGAGGGUGCUCACCACUAGAGCAACCCAAGAGCGACCCACUCUUGUAAAAAGUAAGAAAAUGCAUAAUCGGAAGCUGACAAAUCUGGAUAAAAUCAACAAUUGGCAGCUUAGGAACACAAAACCAAAACAAUAUCAGUUUUCACCCUAAGUCUUCUGUCUUUAUAUGGUGAAAUGCACUUGGUAGCAAAGUGCUACAAUUCAUUUUGAAUUUGCAUAUGGUUUUUGGAAAUGUACUUACAAGUUGUCAGCAUACUUCAUCCAUAUCAUUUUAUCAUCUUGCUCAUGGAGCAACAAGGAGUUGGAUGGUACCAAACUUAAGUACUAGUCAGAGAACAAACAAACGAUUAAUUUCUAAGUUAUAGAAAAAAAAGUUGCCCCUAGGGCUUUGGUUCGAUGCCAAAGGUAGUACAAAGAGAAAUGUGCGGUAGGCGCACGUCAUUGGACCAAAAGUAACCGUAGCAUGGGGGUCUAUGAGUUCAAAUCCACCGCGCAUCAAAGCUGAAAACAACGGAUUAAUUGGUUAUCAAUAAAAUUACAGAAUAAGUGUUGCUCCUUCUUCUGCCACAAAUGUAGACUAAAAUGGACAAAGCUUCAUACAUCAAAACAAUGCACUGGAAAUGAGUCAUCCACAUUCCACUGUUCAGUUUAAACAGUAUUCAUGAAAAGGAAAUUUUUCUGUGGGGUUACGUGAAUUCUACAUUUACUUUGGUAACCAAUUGCCAGUUCUUGGUCAUUAAAAUUGAGAUUCAUGUCAAUUCAGAUUAAUAUUUAGGUAUAAAUGUUACCUCUAUUACUUUGGAAGGAUUAUUUCUAGCUGCAUGCUUAUAACACCGGUCAGGGCGGAGGCACAAGCUGACCUAUGGGUUCGGCCUAAUCCAGUAACUUUUGCUUAAACGGUGUAUUUAGUGUUUUGAAUUCAUGAAAUAUGUAUGUAGACAAUAAAUUACGUUGAGAAAAUAAAAUCAAGACCGAAAAUAUUGCAACAAUCGUAGUAUUUUAUUUCAAAUAAUUUGAGUGUACAAUCUCUAUGAAUCCUCUGAUUCUUCUUUUCAAUAGUAAAUAAAGGAGCCUCCGAGCUUAAUCUUGAAUUUUAUUUUAUUUUAAUCCAAGUGCUUGAAGCUUGAUCUUAAUCUUGACGUAUUUUUAANCUAAGGGNNNNNNNNNNNNNNNNNNNNNNNNNNNNNNNNNNNNNNNNNNNNNNNNNNNNNNNNNNNNNNNNNNNNNNNNNNNNNNNNNNNNNNNNNNNNNNNNNNNNNNNNNNNNNNNNNNNNNNNNNNNNNNNNNNNNNNNNNNNNNNNNNNNNNNNNNNNNNNNNNNNNNNNNNNNNNNNNNNNNNNNNNNNNNNNNNNNNNNNNNNNNNNNNNNNNNNNNNNNNNNNNNNNNNNNNNNNNNNNNNNNNNNNNNNNNNNNNNNNNNNNNNNNNNNNNNNNNNNNNNNNNNNNNNNNNNNNNNNNNNNNNNNNNNNNNNNNNNNNNNNNNNNNNNNNNNNNNNNNNNNNNNNNNNNNNNNNNNNNNNNNNNNNNNNNNNNNNNNNNNNNNNNNNNNNNNNNNNNNNNNNNNNNNNNNNNNNNNNNNNNNNNNNNNNNNNNNNNNNNNNNNNNNNNNNNNNNNNNNNNNNNNNNNNNNNNNNNNNNNNNNNNNNNNNNNNNNNNNNNNNNNNNNNNNNNNNNNNNNNNNNNNNNNNNNNNNNNNNNNNNNNNNNNNNNNNNNNNNNNNNNNNNNNNNNNNNNNNNNNNNNNNNNNNNNNNNNNNNNNNNNNNNNNNNNNNNNNNNNNNNNNNNNNNNNNNNNNNNNNNNNNNNNNNNNNNNNNNNNNNNNNNNNNNNNNNNNNNNNNNNNNNNNNNNNNNNNNNNNNNNNNNNNNNNNNNNNNNNNNNNNNNNNNNNNNNNNNNNNNNNNNNNNNNNNNNNNNNNNNNNNNNNNNNNNNNNNNNNNNNNNNNNNNNNNNNNNNNNNNNNNNNNNNNNNNNNNNNNNNNNNNNNNNNNNNNNNNNNNNNNNNNNNNNNNNNNNNNNNNNNNNNNNNNNNNNNNNNNNNNNNNNNNNNNNNNNNNNNNNNNNNNNNNNNNNNNNNNNNNNNNNNNNNNNNNNNNNNNNNNNNNNNNNNNNNNNNNNNNNNNNNNNNNNNNNNNNNNNNNNNNNNNNNNNNNNNNNNNNNNNNNNNNNNNNNNNNNNNNNNNNNNNNNNNNNNNNNNNNNNNNNNNNNNNNNNNNNNNNNNNNNNNNNNNNNNNNNNNNNNNNNNNNNNNNNNNNNNNNNNNNNNNNNNNNNNNNNNNNNNNNNNNNNNNNNNNNNNNNNNNNNNNNNNNNNNNNNNNNNNNNNNNNNNNNNNNNNNNNNNNNNNNNNNNNNNNNNNNNNNNNNNNNNNNNNNNNNNNNNNNNNNNNNNNNNNNNNNNNNNNNNNNNNNNNNNNNNNNNNNNNNNNNNNNNNNNNNNNNNNNNNNNNNNNNNNNNNNNNNNNNNNNNNNNNNNNNNNNNNNNNNNNNNNNNNNNNNNNNNNNNNNNNNNNNNNNNNNNNNNNNNNNNNNNNNNNNNNNNNNNNNNNNNNNNNNNNNNNNNNNNNNNNNNNNNNNNNNNNNNNNNNNNNNNNNNNNNNNNNNNNNNNNNNNNNNNNNNNNNNNNNNNNNNNNNNNNNNNNNNNNNNNNNNNNNNNNNNNNNNNNNNNNNNNNNNNNNNNNNNNNNNNNNNNNNNNNNNNNNNNNNNNNNNNNNUUUUAAAUGCUAUGAAGAGGACGUCUCCUUUUCACUUAGGCAUAAAAUUGGAUCGAUUGAUCUGAGUAGACUUUUAGUUUGAGGGAGUAUUAAUCCCGAAAAAAUUUAUGGGAGUAUUAAUCUCAUUAAGAUUUACAGGAGUAUUGAUCCCGGUAAGACAUUGAGUCUGAGAAAAUAUUGAUUCCGAAUAAAUGUAUAUCUUAGUAGAUUUGUCCCGAAGAGACAUUUAAUCUGAUUGGAUAUUGAAUCCAAAUUGGAGUAUAUGAACAUUGACGAUCGCAAAACACACACUUAAAUAUGCUUGCUAGUCGAAUAUAGUAUAAUAUAAUAUCGUAUCCACAAGGAUUGGAGUUAAACAAUAUUUUUAUAGUUUGUAGCUUGAUUACUAUCCAAGAUAAUCAAAAAUUGAGAAUUAUGUGAUUAAAAACUAAAAUUAACUAAGAAUCUAAAUCUAAUUGACUAAUGACAAUUACACAAAAGUAAGCAAGAAAAAUAUCAAUGGGAGAAAAAUAGGGGUUGAUUGGAUAGGUGCAAAAUAGUUGUCUGGGAUUUAACUCAAGUUAAUUCACUUCUAAUGUUGAAGUUAGUCUCUCGAAUUCACUCAAUUGUUAGUUCAAACGUUAGUAGAAACUCCUCUCUCGAUUAAGUCGCAACCUCACAAUAUGAACUAAGUUAAGCUCGGUGAAGAUAUGCACGAAUUCGUAUUAGAUUGGUAUUUUAGAAGAACCUCUUUUGAUUAUCCUCGUAACUAGGUUUAAUCAACAAUUCAACUAGCCUCUUUCGAUUACUAAGAAAAAUUAAUGAAUUCAACCAACAAGAUAAUGCAAAAAUAUCACAAAUUAUGCCUCUCUCGAUUACACAAACAUGUGAAUAUAGAUGCAACGAUUAAAACACCCAAAACGAUUCAAUACAUAAAAAUAAGAGUUAAUAUCCACAACCAAAUAUCAAUACACUAAAUCCAUCAAUUACUAAAGAGAACUACUCCAUAGAUAUGGAGUAAUUCAUCACAAAUAUGUUUAAGAUAACGGAAAACAUAAAACGAUCCAAACUCGUGUCUUGAGUGAGGAUUGAAUGAUGAAAUCCUUGUGCUUCUUCUUCUCCAACUCCUCCUUAGCCUCCUUAGGUCUUAGAUGUUUCAAAAGUCUAGAAAAUACUAUUUUUCCAUGUAUAUGCACCAAUAGGGCCGGGCCCAAAUGAAAACACCUUCUCUGAUGCGAAAUAAGAUUCUUUCCGGAAUAGGACGUGUGCGGCCACGCACCUGGGAGUGUGCUCGCGCAUAUGGCCGCGCACUUUGGACAGUGUCUAGCCUCACUUGCGCGCCCAGUGCACGCUCACGCACUUGGGUGGCGUCUUGCUUGAUUCUUCGUCUCUCUCGUUGAGUGCACUAUUGUACGUUGAUCCCCGAACACGAUCCCAAUUUAAUCCUCGGGCUAUUACUCAGACUUCAAAACACUAGAAUAGUUUGAAUUCAUUCCAUAACAUCUACAUAGCUCAGAAUCACUUCUCCAAGGCAUAAAACAUAUAAUUAGUGCAAAAUACUAGUGAUUAAAGCUCAAAUUCAAUUAAAGUGCAGUAAAUUAGAGUGCGAUAAGCAACGAAAAUACGUAAUUAUAGCCUACCAUCAACACCCCACACUUAAAUCAUUGCUCGCCCUGGAGCAAUCAAACUACACUUUAUAAAAACACAGCCUUUUUAAACAACUCUCAUAACUUAUCAUACGAAGAAUAUUUAAAAUCGAUUAAGCACAAUAGUGUAAUAUCCUAACCUCAACAUUUGACUCAAAAGUACCACACAUUAUUCACAACUUGCUCACUUACUCCAACAUAGAGGUCAACGAUAUCACAUUUCCUUCAUGAAUCAAGUGCCCUCACACAACAAUCGAGAGUAGUUCCAAACACUAUAAAAUUUAAGAAUAACUAGGAACUCAAGAUAGAAAUAAUUCACUCACUCUCAAAAAUAAUAUUCAUAUGCCACAAAAGAUGAACCAUAGGCUUGCCCGUAGUGUACUACUCUACUAAUUGAGCUCAUUCAGUCGAGGAUCAAGUAGGACUUUAAUUGUUUGUAAUGUAAGCUGCAGGACGAGUAGAAUACAUUUAGAUAUAAGAGUGACUACACCUCCCUAAGCACUUUAAUACAUACAUUUCAUUGUUCAAAACCCUACACUUAUGUCAAACCAUAACUCCACCUUCACAUCAAUAUAUAUUAACUCCCGCUUCUUUAAGCACAAUUACAUCAAAUUGCCACUAUCAUGGAAUAUUUUUCACAAUCAUACAACUAUUUAUUUUAUUUUUCUUUUUCAAUUCAAGUGGCUCUUAUUUUUUUAACACAUUGCACCUUUCUCCUUAUUUCAAUAGUUCCACUCAAAAGCCAAACCAACCACCCGACACUUCAACUUUUACAAAGUUUAUAACAAAUUUAAGUGCUCACGAGUGGUAAACGGUUCAAAUAGAUUGUCAAUUCAAACAAAUGGGGAAGGCUUGUAAUGUGGUAGCCAAAGAAAGAUGAUUACAUGCUCAAAAGGGGUUAACUAAGAUACAUAACAAUUUGGUGGGUAAAAUAUAUAGUUAGCGCAACAAAGAAAUGCAUAUAUCACUUCCAAGACUGAAUAAAACUAAUAUUUCACUUUGCAAACACACGGAGCAAGUUCUAGACAUCAAAUGCAAUACACAGAAUACACAAAAACCUCUCACACACACGGCACAUAACUCACUCAAGAUUGAAUUAUCAAGACACUCUAGUCAAAGCAUUUAAGUAAAGUUGAUAUGAUAUAAUUUAAGGUCCUCAUACAAGAGUAAAAAACUGAGCCUAAGUGUCCAAACUAAAGCACUCACUAUUCUCAAGGCAUGAUAGAGUCAAGAGAUAUUGCUUCCAAUUCCAAUCAUAGCAUAAGGUCUCCUAUUUCUAACAAAAAUAAAAACUAACUACACCCGGUUCAAACAAAACCCUUGGAAAAGAACCUCGGUACAAAGAAAAACCAAGGGAGAAUUAUUACAUUAACUACAAAAGAAAAUUAUUUUGUCUUUUUAUUUCGACUUUAAUCCCUAAAGAAACCCGUCUAAUGAUAUCCACCGUCGGAAAAAAUCAAAUAUUUUUCAAAAUUUUAUGGUUUUCCAAUUUUUUUCUAUCAAACUACUACAACUAACCAAAAGAAACUAGAAUUAAUAUACACACAACAUAUCAAACUACUACAACUAACCAAAAGAAACUAGAAUUAAUAUACAUACAACACACAUAUCCCCCACCCCAUACUUUAAGUGAUGGCAUGUCCACAUGACACACAAUUAAAAAGCAUAAGGUAGAGAAAACUUUCCUGAAUCUCUAGACGGGGUCUGAGUCGAAGUCGGGCUCCAUUCUUCUCGCCCGAACUAGUGCACACAUCCACGUAGACAACUUCUUCUCAACCUUCUUGGGGUACACCCCACACUUGUCUUUUUCUAUCACUAGAGCCUUAUCCCUUGAACUCUUCACCUUCCAUUCAACACUUGCAACUGACUUCUUCUUUUUCACCCCCGUAUCUACAAUCAUCUCGAACGUUACAGUUUCUGCACUUACUCUAAGCAUGGGUUUUCUAUCAUGUAUGUCUAAUAUUGCUCUGCCUGUUGCUAAGAAUGGUCUUCCUUGGAUAAGGGGGACCUCCUUGUUCUCCUACAUCUUCACCACUAUAAAGUCUACAAGAAAUACAAACUUAUCUACCCGAACUAAAACAUCUUCCACUAUCCCCUCGGGUAUCAAAGUUGUUUAGUUUGCCAGCUGCAAAGAUAUUGUGCAGACCUUAUCUCUCCAGUCUCAUUCUCCAGAUUGUUGUAAAUAGAAAAGGCAUUAAAUUAAUUGAGGCACCUGAAUCACACAAAGACUUAUCAAAAUUAAGAGUGCCUAACGAGCAAGGUAUAACAAGGAUCUCCACACUUUUGUGGGAGUUUGUUUUGCAAGAUUGCACUACAAUGCUCUGUGAGCUUGACCACUAAGGUCUCUUAUAUCUUCAUCUUCUUUGUGAGGAUCUCCUUUAAUACUUUGGUAUAAACUAGCAUUUGUGAGAGAACUUCUGUGAAUGGCAAGUUUAAAUUAACUUGUCUCAACAUCUCUAGAGAUUUCUCAAACUGCUUGUCUAGCUUUUCUCUAUAUAGCUUCUAGGGAAAGGGUAGAGUAGGCAUAUGCUCGCUCUCAUUAAAUUUCUCCCUUGUUGAAGUUUCCUCCUUCUUCUUUUUCUCGGCUCCCUUCUUGCCUUUCUUCUUCUUAUCAACUUUAUUUUUCAGCUGCUCCCCAACUUCUUUUUUAGGUACACUCUCUUUUUGGACCGGAGUGGGAUCUUUCACCACUUGCCUGCUUCUCAAUGUCAUAACAUUCACCAUUUCUUUGGGGUUUCUCUCAGUGUCAGCUGGCAGAGUACCUGGGAUUCUUUCAGACAAUACAAUGGCAAAUUGUCCUACUUACUUCUCCAAGUUUUGUAAACCUGUACCAAGUUCUUUGAUAGCUGAACCAUGAGCAUCUAAUCUCACAUCUAUAUUGAUAAUGAAGGACUUCAUUAGAUCUUCUAACCCAGGCUGAUUGGAUUGUUGAGGUUGAAACUGCUGCCUUUGCUGAUUUUGGAAGCCUGGAUCUCCUUGUCCCUAAAAUCGGGAGUUGUGUCAUUGCCAUGAAUUUGCAUUACCCCCAGGUGAACUCCAUGAAAAACCGAGGUGCUUAUGACCCAUUGCAUUGAAGUUAUAACUCCCAACAACAUUAACUUCCUCAGUUGAGGCUUGACACUCAUGAGUAGGGUACCCUCUUCCACAUAUGUCACAUGCUGUAUGAGGCUCAUUAUGUAUCGAGGCUAAGGUCAGCUUCCUUAUUUAUUUAGCCAUGGCAUCAAGUUGUACUUGCACAGAUGUGUUAGCAUCAACUUGGUGAACACUAGUUGAUCUUCUUCUUUGAGCUACCUCAGAGCGCCACUGAUUUGCAUCCUCAGAUAACUCAUCGAGAAUUGUGACUAUCUUCUCUGGGGUCUUCUUCAUCAACGGACCUCCAGCUGCAUUGCUCAAUGUUCUGCAUGAGGCCUAUGUCAAUCCAUCCCAAAAGUCCUAGAGUUGCAUCAAGAGUUCAGUUCUACUAUGUUGACACUUUCGCACUAUCUCCUUAAACCUCUCCCAAGCUUCAAACACAGUUUCAGUCUCGUUCUGGCAGAAGUUAUGGAUUUCUCUUCUAAACUUGCAUGUCUUAGCUGAUGAGAAAUAUUUGUCAAGAAAUUAUCUGGUCAUCUCAUCCCAUGUUCUAAUCGAUCCAUUAGGCAAGCUUCGAAGCCAGUGCUUUGCAUCGUCUUUGAGAGUGAAGGGGAAUGCCCUUAAGUAAAUUGCAUCUUGUGAAAUACCAUUGUAUUGAAAGGUGUUCAUAAUCUCCUCGAAGUCCAUCAGAUGAUUGUUUGGAUCUUCGUUCAUCUUUCCUAUGAAGACAUAACUGUUUUAAAGAGUUUGAAGCAACCCAUUCUUCAA
rnacentral:lncRNA from 1 species